rnacentral:lncRNA from 1 species
CAGUUUCAAGCUUAAAGGGGAGGUCACCGCGAAAGCCAGGAAGGGUUUUGAUGAUAUUGGAUGAUGAUGAUGCAACAUUAAUGUUCAAAAGGGUCACCAGAAGAAGUGAUUGUGGCAACAUGGUGGUGAUGAUGUACUUGCUGCUACGCUUAUCUCAUGACAUACGUAUAUGUGGAGGAUGGCUCCUGUGAAGUUAUGGAACGUGCUAUAAUAUAAUGAAUUUGGUUUUUUUCUUGAGCUAUGAAGUGACUGGAUAGUCUGAACAGUAGGUGAAUCCUCGUGAUCAUCAGCCAAAAAAAUUUGAAUAUAUUUUGAUAUUUUGGGAAUUGUAUUUUUCUUCCGGCUUCUGUCCCUUUCAAAUUCUUCAACUUGUGUAUGUAAGAUUUGUUUAGAAUGAGAGACAAAGAAAGUGUGAUUUUCAACUUGUGUCUUUAAGUUAAAAUAUGGACUGAUAAUUGACGCACCUGGGUUCUUAGAUAUUCUGAAUUUCAACAGGAAAAAAAACACACAGAAGAAGAAGUUGUGAUUUUGGUUCAGCAGAGGACUUAAUCAGAACGAGGUAUGGUGCUUGCUCUCUGCUCAACAUUCCGUGGAGGCAGAAAAUCCAAGUUUUUGUUAGACCACAACUUUUUUUUUAUUUAAUUUAUUUGUGGCAUCCGCAUUGCUUGCAUGUCACAAAAUUGAACUACUUGUCAGCCACAAUAUUUUUGGAUCCAAGUCCAACUAAUGGUCAGACACCCAUUAGUCAACCUACUUCCUCUUCUCUGCUCCUCUCUUUGAUUCAUGCUCAAAGACUUUCACAAAGGAUCAUCCAGAUGAAGAUUUUUUGCAUGAUUUUUGGUUUGUUUACUACAUAACACAUUAACAAUGAAUAUAUAUUAAAUAAUGGUGUGUUUAUAGUACAUAAAACUGAUAUUUGAUUUAUGAUUUCAUAUCAUUCUUUGAAUAAUGGUGUGAACCAAUUGACUUAUUAAUUUUGACUACAGAGGGUAGUAUGCGAACCAACGACUAAUCAUAGCAUGACAUUCUUCAGGUUUGUACUCUGGAGCUGUGUGACCCGCUCCCUGAAAAAUCAAAAAAAUUAGUCAGCUUUUGCUGAAGCAAAUUUUAGUAUGGAAAAUAUUUAAGUUCAUUCUUAAGCUUCUUGCCUUUAUAGUUGCAUAUGUCAACUGGUAUUUUUUGUAUGUGUACUGCACUCUGUAUCUAAAGGCCAAAAAACAGAAGAAGAAAAGAAGGCAUAACUAUGAGAUAAUUGUAAUCUGAUUUUCUGACUAAACUCAACACAAAGUAAGAAAGAAGAUGAGAUAGAUACAAACCCUGCAACCUGUCCGUCGACAAACCAAGGCUUCCAAGGACUGUCAACAGUCAAGUUCAGAGAUUCUAUCCAAGCCAUAGUAGCCACAUAUGGAAUAUCCAUGUCAUGAUCACCACUGUGAAUAUACAAGCUUUGUGUUCAGAAGAAAUGGUAAUGUGAGAAUGAAUAGAUUGUGUGAGAUUCUAUUAACAGAAAGCUAAGCCUAUGUUUGAAUUUAUUAGAACUCCAAAUGGACUUUCUGCUUUGACUAAAACAAAAGAAAAUUGGAAAGAGUUAUCGGCAUGCAUAUUCUACAAAAUAUAAUACCUGUAAACCAAAACUCUAUAGCCUUGUUUUAUGAGGUUCUCAUGAUAGACAAGACUAGAGGAAACAUCAGAUAUAUAUAAUUCUUGUAAGGUCUUAUUGCAUCUCUCCCAUUCCGUAAUGCUUCCCUGAUUGUCAUUUAGGAUCAGCAAAAUUAAAGUACUGUGAUAUAUCAUGAAAACCGGAAGAAUAUAUUUAGAAUGAACUAAUUAAUUACCUCCUGAAUAUGAAGAGCAUCUUGGACAGUUUUGUCAUUUUCCCAAAUGGAAGAGUAGAGAUAAUUGUAACUCUGCAUUAAAACAAGGAAGAUAAGCUGACUCAAGUUUACAUUUAGUAUAACAAACAAAAAUGAGUAAGCCACAACCUACAGAUAAGUGACUGUAGUGUGCAUUGUGUAUGUGUGCAAGUGCGCAUGCAGCAGAGAGACUUACCCGACACCAUGGCCUACGAAGUUGAAGAAAAGAAAGGAGGAGAUUUACAGAGUCCUUAUUGCUGAAAUAGUUUCCGUUCCACUUUGAUUGUGCUGAUUUUGGCGACUCUAUUGUAGUACAUGAAGGUUCCAAUAUAUGUGCACUGUGUAUGCCUUCGACACACUGCCAAUCCAAUUGUGAAGUCAGUAUUUUUAUCCUACAUUACUUAAAAGUGACAAGUAGUUGCAGAAACCAAAGAUUUUGUUUUAUUUCCACUCACCUCGUUGUAAAGUUCAAGAUCCUCCACACAUAACGUGUUGUUUAGAUCCACAUUGAUAUACUCUCCCUUGCAGUUUUUUUUCAUUGACUUGCAAAAUAUAAAAAUCACAACCAGAUUUAAGAAAGUCUUUUAGCAAGAAAUGAAGCGAGUAUGCAAGAGCACUGGGUACAUAAAAAAAAAAAACCAGUGCGUAUUUCACCUGGUAUAGUUCAUCUGAUAUAAGUGCUUUUAGGUAAGCAAAUAACACUUUGUAAUUAUAAUCUUUUUUUUUAUCUGUCACUGGAUUGCCGAGCACAUAUCCCUGCAGCCAAUAUACUUUUAAGGCCUACAUUCAUAUGAUGAGGAAUUUAUGAACUACAACACAAUAGAAAUCAUUCAAAUUAUAAUGGCAGAAAAUGUACUUUGAGAUUCAUUGGUGGCACAUGUUCAUCUUGAUUACCUACACAAAUAUAAAAAUAAAUUAAAAUCAAUAGCUCAUGAAACUGUUUUUGCCUUAUUUGUCCAUCUGAUACAUAUUGAGCAUGAAGAGGUGAUGAAUGAAAUGUUCAAUAUUAUUUUCAUGUGAGACUGAAUCAAAGGUAAAACUUAAGAGGGUUACCAACUUACCAUCCGAUAUUUCCUGAACGACCAUCGGAACAAUUAUGCCUGAAUAAGAAUCUCCAGCAAUAUAAAGUGGAUUAUUGUAGAACUUGGGAUGAUCCAUAAGCCACUGCACCCACAAUAGUAAAAACAAAGAUAUAGCUAAACUAGACGCAAUAACAUAAUGUUCAUUUCCAACAACCAAUCAUGUCAAUUUUUGAUUAAAAAAGCCAUUCUUAAUCACUUGAAAGAUGAUCACAUGAACUAGACCUUAUGCAGAAACCUCGUAGGCAAGCGCAUCAUCUCACCUUUCUAAGAAAUUCAUAUGUUUGUGCAGCUGACAAUGUGUCAUUGAGAUUGCUAUAUCCUUCCCAAUUUUUUGCAUAGGAGAACCCUGUGCCCACUGGUGCGUCUAAAAAUAUUAUGUUGGCAACCUGAAAGUUUGGGAUAUUGUUCUUCUCAAUGUCAUACGAACCUGAAUAGUUUCUAAAGAUCACAUACAAAGACACAAACACGAAAACCUACCUUUGUCCAUGAAUAUGGAUUCAAUUUUAAUUUUGGUUUGUUGCCAAUGGAAUGUGCAUAGUCAAAGGAUAGUGGACCUACAACAAAGUAUGUGUUAAACAGUUGGAACUUUAAUGUGCAGAGUUACAAUUAUAUUCUGUGUAUUAGUGAAAAAUACACAGAAUAUACUUAGAAAGCUAACACUAAUCAACUUUGUAUGGCUUUUGAUAGGUUUUGAGGCUCUUGGGCUCGGUUAGUUGCUCAGUAGGUUUACUUGUGUGCUUUGGCGCCCUGCCUAACCCAAAAAAGAACAAAAAAAACAGAGAAAACAGAGCCUUCCCUUUCUUUUAAAAAGAUUUUCUGAUUAUAAAAUUUCAUAAAAUUUCAAAAUAUAAUAAUAUCAUCUAAAAAAUGCAGAGUCUGAAAAAUAUAAUAAGGGACGUACCUAAAUUUUCAUAUACAAGGCCAGAGAAGGCAGAACAACCAGGACCUCCAUUGAGCCAAAGCACCAGAGGAUCAUACUCUGGACUCCCUUCAGACUCAAAGAAGUAAUAAAACAGCUGCACAUCAUCCAUGCUGCCCACUCCCACGUACCUUCAUAUAAUUAACCCAUAAAUUAUAUAAUUCAUUGCCAUAUUUUGUAUUAAUGCAAAGUAAUUAACUGAGUAGAAAAAUAAUAGUUAUAAGAACAAAGAUACCAACCCAGUUUCAAGCUUGAAGGGGAGGUCACCUCGAAAGCCGGGUAGGGUUUUGAUGAUAUUGGACGUUGAUGCAACAUUAAUGUUCAGAAGGGUCACCAGAAGAAGUGCUUGUGGCAACAUGGUGAUGAUGAUAUACUUGCUGCUAGGCAUAUUUCAUCACAUAUAUAUAGAGAGGAAUGCUUUACGGCGCUACUGUGAAUUUAGGAAGCGUGCCAUAAUUGAAUAUGUCUUUUGACUUCAGCCAUGACGUGAUUGGGUAGUCUGGACAUUAAGUGAAUCCUCGAAGGAGACCCUCUUCAUUUAAUUAUCCCUUUUUUAUUGGGAAAUGCCAUCUCACAUGUGAGUUGAGGUGGACAUCCAAUUCAUUAAAAUUAUAUUAGUUUUUUUUUUUGACAUAUCAAUUUUUUAUUAUUUUCUUUAAUUGAAAAAACCUAACCCUACUGGAUUAGAGACUCUUGGUAUAAUGGUCCUUCUAUGAGAGGUUAUGGAGGUAGUCGGAGCUGGUGAUGCAAGGAGCAGUGUUAUGACCCCUCAACUACCAUUGAUCAUAGACUGUAGACAUCAUCUCAAAGGUGGACUAACCAAAAAUUAAAGGUGGAGGGAGUGGAGCGGUGGCGGAUCGACGGCAGAGGAAGAGGAAGAGAGGGAAUUUGGGGAGGCCAACAGGUAACGUGAAAACUGAAAAGUCUCCAGGGUUAAGUUUUUUAAUUUUUUUUAAUUAAUGAAAAUUAUAAGAAACUCAUAUCUUUAAAUAUAUAUAUAUAUAUAUAUAUAAUUUUAAUGAGUUGGAUCUUGGGGAGGCCAACAGGUAACGUGAAAACUGAAAAGUCUCCAGGGUUAAGUUUUUUAAUUUUUUUUAAUUAAUGAAAAUUAUAAGAAACUCAUAUCUUUAAAUAUAUAUAUAAUAUAUAUAAUUUUAAUGAGUUGGAUGUCCACCUCAACUGCCACGUGAGAUGGUAUUAAAAAUGUGGUAUAAUUAUAUGGUAAGCAUAUCAUUUCCUUUUUUUAUUUGUUUAGCCUAGUAAUAAUAUGAAUAUGUUUUCCUAUCAUAAAUAAAAUAAAAUAAAAUUGAAUAUAUUUUUCUUUUGGGAAUUGUAUUUUUCUUUUGGCUUUUGAAGGAGAUUGAUUGUUACGGCGGGAAGUGAUCACAAGCUAAGAGAUCGGUGCAUGUGAAAACACGUAGGCGUGCUGAUCAAUUGUUUGGAGAAAUUCUUCCUGUGGAUAAGGUGGGACCCCAAUACAAGGUUUUAGCUUAGUUGUGGGAUGGGCGGGGAAAAACUUGCAAUUUCCAGUAUAAUGCUAUAUUACGUGGAAGUAUUAUCCGCCUAUUGUAGCGUUAUUGACAGGAAAUAACAAGUUUUCUGCUUUUUAUUGAUAUGCGGAAAUUGAACCAUUUUUUGGAUCCAACUAAUGGUCAGCCACCAAUUAGUCAACUUAGUCUUCUCUGCAACUCUCUCUGAUUGUUGUUCAAAGGGUAUAAGAUUCACAAAGGAUCAUCAUCCAGAUGAUGAUUUUUGCAUGGUUUUUGGUUUAUUUACUACCCAACACUGUAACACAUUAACAAUGAAGAUAUAUUAAAUAAAACUGAUAUUUGAUUUAUGAUUUCAUGUCAGUCUUGGAAGAAUUGACUCUAACAGACACAGACGAAAGGGUAGUAUGCGAACCAAUUGACUUAUUAAUUUUGGGAUACAGCAAUAGAAAUUCUGACUACAGAGGGUAGUAUGCGAACCACCGACUAAUCAUGGCAUGACAUUCUUCAGGCUUGUACUCUGUUGCUGUGUGACCCGCUCCCUGAAAAAUCAGAAAAUUUAGUCUUAACUUUAGCUCAAGCAAAUUGCAGUGUUGGAAUAAUUCAAGUUCAUGGUGGGUCUUGGCUUCUUGCCUUUAUAGUUGUAUAUGUCAACUGGUACUUUUUAUCUGAGUACUGCACUCUGUAUCUAAAGGGCAAAAUAAGAAGGCGGCAUAACUAUGAGAGUUGUAAUCUGAUUUUGAGACUAAAAUCAACUUAAACAGAAGAAAGAUGAAGGACAUGAAAAAAUUAAAAAGUGAGAAAAAAGCUGAGAUAGAUAUCAACCCUGCAACCUGUCCGUCGACGAACCAUGGCUUCCAACGACUGUCAACAGUCAAGUUCAGAGAUUCUAUCCAAGCCAUAGUAGCCACAUAUGGAAUUACCAUGUCAUGAUCACCGCUGUUAAUCGACAAGCGUUGUGUUCAGAAGAAAUGAUAAUUUGAGAAUAAUUAGAUUGUGAUGCAGCAAGAUUAGCACUUACAUACAUAGGUUCAAUCAUUUAUAAUAAAUAGGUGUCUUUAUCCAAAGAAAACUGGAGAGAAUUAUAGACAUAUAGUACCUGUAAAUCAGAACUCUAUAGCCUUGUUUUAUGAGAUUCUCAUGAUAGACAAGACUGGAGGAAACAUCAAAUAUAUAUGAAUCUUUUAAGGUAUGAUUGCAUCUCAACCAUUCCUUAAUGCUUCCCUGAUUUUCAUUUAAGACAGAAAAAUUAAAUUACUGUGAUAUGUCAUGAAAACUUGAAGAAUAUAUUUGGAAGGAACUCAUUAAUUACCUCCUGAAUAUGAAGAGCAUCUUGGACAGUUUUGUCAUUUGCCCAAAUAUAAGAGAAGAGAUAAUUGUAACUCUGCAUUAAAAUAAGGCAGAUAUAUGUUGACUCAAAGUUUACAUUUAGUACAACAAACACUAAUGAGUAACCCACAACCUACAGAUAAGUUACUGCUAUGUCCUAUGCAUUGUGUGUGUGCAUGCGUGUGUGCGCAGAGAGACUUACCCGACACCAUGGCCUAGUAAGUUCAGGAAAGGAAAGGAGGAGAUUUACGGAGUCUUUAUCGCUAAAAUAGUUUAUGUUCCACUUUGACCCUGCUGAUUUUGGCGAUGCUACUGAAGUACAUGUAGGUUCCAAUAUCUGUGCACUCUGUAUGUCUUCAAUACACUGCCGAUCCAAUUGUGAAGUCAGUAUUUUUAUCCUACAUUACUUAAAAGUGACAAGUAGAUGCAGAAACAAAAGAUUCUGCUUUAUUUUCACUCACCUCGUUGUAAAGUUCAAGAUCCCCCACACAUAACGUGUUGUUUAGAUCCACAUUGAUAUACUCUCCCUUGCAGUUUUUUCUCAUUGACUUGCAAAAUAUAAAAAUCACAACCAGAUUUAAGAAAGACAGUCUUUUAGCAAGAAAUGAAGUGAGUAUGCAAGUGCGUAGUCACCUGGUAUAGUUCAUCUGAUAUAAGUGCUUUUAGGUAAGCAAAUAACACUUUGUAAUUAUUAUCUUUUUUUUCAUCUGUCACUGGAUUUCCAAGCACAUAUCCCUGCAGCCAAUAUACUUUUAACUUUUAAGGCCCACAUUCAGAUGAUGAGGAAUUUAUGAACUACAACACAAUAGAAAUCAUUCAAAUUAUAAUGGCAGAAAAUGUACUUUGAGAUUCAUUGGUGGCACAUGUUCAUCUUGAUUACCUACACAAAUAUAAAAUCAAUUAAAAUCAAUACCUCAUGAAACUGUUUUUGCCUUAUUUGUCCAUCUGAUAUUUAUUGAGCAUGAAGAGGUUAUGAAUGAAAUGUUCAAUAUUAUUUUCAUGAGAGACUGAAUCAAAGGUUGCAGGAUUUGACCCUUCUCUCAAUUCUUGGUAGCUGAAACUGACAAAAGGUAAAACUUAAGAGGGUUACCAACUUACCAUCCGAUAUUUCCUGAACGACCAUCGGAACAAUUAUGCCAGAAUAAGAAUCUCCAGUAAUAUAAAGUGGAUUAUUGUAGAACUUGGGAUGAUCCAUAAGCCACUGCACCCACAACAGUGAAAACAACAACAUAACUAGCUAGAUAUGGAAGAAAAGUGUUUUAUAUUCAACAAGCCAAUCAUGUCGAUUUUCGAAAGAAUUCUUAAUCACUAGAAUUAAACCUCUCACCUUUCUAAGAAAUUCAUAUGUCUGUGCAGCUGACAAGGUGUCAUUGAGAUUGUUAUAUCCUUCCCAAUUUUUUGCAUAUGAGAAUCCUGUGCCCACCGGUGCGUCUAAAAAUAUUAUGUUGGCAACCUGAAAGUUUAGGAUAUUGUUCUUCUCAAUGUUAUAAGAACCGGAAUAGUUGCUAAAGAUCACAUACGUACAAAGACAUAAACAAAAACACCUACCUUUGUCCAUGAAUAUGGAUUCAAUUUUAGUUUUGGUUUGUUGCCAAUGGAAUGCGCAUAGUCAAAGGAUAGUGGACCUACAACAAAGUACGUAUUAAAUAGUCCUAGUUAGUAAAAUACAAAAUGGGAAAAGUACAACUUAAAAGUUCGAUCACUAUAUAAUAUUAGUUAAUCUUCAACAUUCACUAUUAUUUUUUGAGCAUGACAAAUCAAGUUGGUUUACAUCUUUAAUUAUUUUUCAGUUGUUGAUAAAUAAUAAAUAUAAGAACAUGUACCAUGUCCAGUGAAUAACAUGAAAAGAGUAAAAUAUUGUAGUAAAAAAUUAUAAAUAAAUUACUAGAAUGUGUUUUAUUUUCUUUCAUUAAUUACUCUAGAUUUUCUAAUUCGAGGAAUUUGUUAGCUCACAAUAUUAUCAACUUAAAUCACUCAAACCCACUAUGCAAUGCAUAUACUUCUAAUUUUAUGUGGCAAAAUAAUAGAUGAAUGACUAAAUAAACUUAUUCUAAAGUUUCAUUACAAAUUUCCAUGUAUUUAUCACAACUUCCGUGGAUUUUAUCCCAUUUUUAUCGAUAUCAAUAUUUUUCCUAUAUUUCCAUGUUUUUGAACGAGCGAUAUUUCCAAAACCCCCCGAUAUUUAAGACCCUGAUCAAAAUUAACCCCAGUAAAAAAUACACAGAAUAUACUUAGAAAACCUAAACACUCGUCAACUUCGUGCUUGCUGAUAACUUGGGGUGUACGGCUUUUGAUGGGUCCUCUCCCCUGUUUUUUGAGGCUCUUGGGCUGGGUUAGUUGCUCUGUAGGUUUUACUUGUGUGCCUUGGCGCCCAGACUAACAGAAAAAAAAAAGAACAAAAAGCAGAGAAAACAGAGCACACCUUUAUAUAUAUAUAUCUAUAUAUAUAUAUUUAUAUAUUUUGUGUUGAAGGUCUUCCCUAUCUUUUAAAAAGAUUUUCUGAUGGUCUGAUACCAAUGUCAUAAAAUUUUAAAAUAGAAUAAUAUCAUCUAAAAAAUAUAAUAAGGUACGUACCUAAAUUUUCAUAUACAAGGCCAGAGAAGGCAGAACAACCAGGACCUCCAUUGAGCCAAAGCACCAGAGGAUCAUACUCUGGACUCCCUUCAGACUCAAAGAAGUAAUAAAACAGCUGCACAUCAUCCAUGCUGCCCACUCCCACGUACCUUCAUAUAAUUAACCCAUAAAUUAUAUAAUUCAUUGCCAUAUUUUGUAUUAAUGCAAAGUAAUUAACUGAGUAGAAAAAUAAUAGUUAUAAGAACAAAGAUACCAACCCAGUUUCAAGCUUGAAGGGGAGGUCACCGCGAAAGCCGGGUAGGGUUUUGACAAUAUUGGACGUUGAUGCAACAUUAAUGUUCAAAAGGGUCACCAGAAGAAGUGCUUGUGGCAACAUGGUGAUGAUGAUAUACUUGCUGCUAGGCAUAUUUCAUCACAUAUAUAUAGGGAAUGCUUUACGGCUCUACUGUGAAUUUAGGAAGCGUGCUAUGAUUUAAGGAAUUUGUCUUUUUUCUUCAGCCAUGACGUGACUGGAUAGUCUGAACAUUAGGUGGCACCUCUUGAUCAUCAGCAAGCAAGGAGACCUUCUUCAUUGAAAUUAUCCAUUUUUUGUUUGUUUAGCCUAGUAAUAAUAGCUUUCGUGUCAUAAAAUAAAUUUGAAAAAUGUUUUUAUAUUUUGGGAAUUGUAUUUUUCAUCUGGAUUUUGUCCCAUUCAAAUUCUUCAACUAGUGUAUGUAAGAUUUCUGUAAAAAGAAAUACAAAUAAAGUGAGACCAGUAUGGGAGUUAAAAUAUUAGAAAAUUUGGUAUAAGUUCAAUUCUGAUAAGAGAGAUUUUAAGUGGAAUUCACGCAAAAGUUGUUGAUCUAAGUCCUUUGACUUUUGCUUCACAUAAGAUUACAUGCCUUUUUUUAUUUAUUUAUUGAUGUUUAUUCUAUUUAUUUUCUAAUUAUUUUGUUGUUCCAAUUAUACCCUUGUGAAUUAUGGAUUUGUAAAAACCAUAAGUUAUUGAUUGAGUGCUGUUAUUUCUACUCCCUUGUUCUAUUUCCCCAACCACCUUAUCUUCAAAAUUUUAAAGACAAUUUAUCCAUUUAUAAAAUGACUUCUAAGGACUUAAGAAAAAAAAAAAACUCAACUAACAUAUCCCAUCUAUUCUAGGGUUUGGUAAAAAGAAGAAGAAAAAGUUAAAGAAGAAAGCGUACAUUUUUCCCCUCUGCAAAACCGGCCAACAAAUUUUUUUCAAGUUUCAAUAAUUAAUAACAAUAAAAUAAAAUUGAACCAAACAAAUUAAGAAAGUCUCAUCUUCUCUCUCUUCACUUUAUCAGUCUAAACAACUCAGGUCUCAUAGGAAACCUUUUUCUUUUUUUUUUCUUUUUUUUUAUCAUUAUCAAAGCUGCACAGUGAUAUUCAACUUGCACCGAUUAAUUUGGUAGUGAGUUUUGUUGGUCGCAAUCUCUAGAUCUAUAGUGCCUCUCAAUUCUCUGAUAAAUUUUUUGGUCUUUUUCGGCAAGGGUUGUGGUCUCUAUGAAGGUUGAAGACAGAAAUUUCGGAGAGGCAAAAACAAAGCAAUGAAAUAGAGGGAUAAAAAGUUCUCAAUCUGCAUGCAUGUCAAAUAUGCUAUUCCACCAAAGAAUUGUGAUGAUGUGGAAAGAGAAAGUGAAAAGAGUUCGUGUUGGUUUUGAUCAGAGUUGGUCCUAAUUUUUUCUGAGUCGUAGGAGAUGGGUGUUGUUCAUGGUGGUUUUCUCGGUUAAAAAAGAGAGAUAGCUGGCGUAGCCAGGCUGCAUUCUGUGUAUUCAGAAAACACUGAAAUAGGGCAGGGUAUUUUAGGAAUAAUGGUGGGUGGAAAAAUAAGAUUGUAUUUUUUAAAAUUUAUGUUGUGGGUGGAAAGAUAAGAUGAGUGGGAAAAUAGGACAGAUAGGUGGAAAUAGCAGCACUCUAUUAACUCUUAGGACAUUUAUUAUCAUAUUUGAUUUCAAUUUAAUUGCAAAUCUAUUUAUUGAAUUUUGAAAUUUUGAAAUAUUUAUCAAACGGACCUUAAUAUUACUACAUUUAUUUACUCUUUAUUUAUUUAUAAACAAGUCUUCUUAUAUCUAAACUGGUGUAGGCAAUGAGGUUGGGCAUGAACCACCAAUGAAUAUCAAAGUAAGAUUCAAUCUGAUUUUAAACUUGAGAUACUUCUUUUUCAUUUUAUUUUUUUGGGAUAAAAAAUUGGUAUUAGUUGCUUGAACCCACAUUACAAGGCCACAGCUUUACAACUUAAAAGUAAUUUUAUAGAGAAGCACAUGGGAGAUAUUUCUUCCCAGAACUAAUUUUGGCCUGUCUAGAAUCACUCUCAAACAAACUCAAAUUACCUCUUGUCCAAGUAAUUAAAUCCAUAAGUUACCUCUAGUCUAGGUAAUUAAACCCAAAAGCUAACUCUUGUGCACAUAUUUAUACCCAUAAAUUGCCUCUAGUCUAGGUAAUUGAACUCAUAUAAUGCCUUUAGUAUGGAUCUUUAAACACAUAAUUAAAGUAAAAAGUACAUAUCUAAAAUGUUACAGAAAUAGAAGAAAGAAACUCACACAUCCACAAUAGGUAUACUCGCACUUGAAUAUAUUGAGAUAAAACUCCAUAAAAAUUGCUUUGAAAAACCGAAGAAAAAAACUAUUACCUAGCUAGAAGGCAAGUAUAUAUAUAGAAAACUCCAUAAAACAAUUGCUUAAAAAAACACAAGAAAAAAACUAUUACCUAUAAGGCAGGUACAUGGAAUGUUUUUUCAUAUAAUUCCAUUUUUGAUAGUGGCAACUACUUACUUGGUGAGAGUGGACUACAAUUAAAAAGGGAGAUCAUCUAGACUGCAUUCAUUACAUCUUUAUGAAAAUGAAAGUGGCCUUUAAAAUAUUGACUGAUAAUUGAAGCACUUGGGUUCUCAGAGAUUCUGCACAACCUGGAAAAAAAGAAAAAACAGAAGAAGUUGUGAUUUUGGUUGUGCACACUGGCAGAACCACUGCAAAGGCUGCAGUGGGCUGUAGCCCAGGAAGAUUUUUGGGAAAAAAAAAAUUAAACUUAUAUAUUUGUCUUGUUUUAAAUACAUUCAAGUAUGUAUUACCUAUCAGAGUUUUAAAAAGUCCAAUUUUUUAUGAAUUUAGUUGCAUGACAACAAUAAAAAUAAACAUUAAGACCUAUCAGAAUUUAUUGUUGUAUAUUUUCAUUUUGAUAAUAUUUGGUUUCCGGUUGCAUUUAAUAUGUAUUUGUUUUAUAUUAAAGUUAAUUGGAAAUUGCAAGGGGUUUGUAACUCAAAUAGUUAAGACCAUUUAUCAUUGUCCUAGGUUCGAUUUUCCCCUUCCCCAAUAUCAAUUGUAUCAAGAGAAAAAAAAAAUUAGGAAUUAGUCAAUAAAGCUAUGAACUAGCUUGGUUUAUAUGAUUUAAUGUAUACUUUUAUUUCUAAAAUAACUAUAUAAACUAUAAAUACAUAAAAUAAAAACAUUUGAUCAUAGAUGUUUAGCUAAUGACUUUAUCUAGCCCACCCGUUGAAAAAUUCAUGGUGAUUGUGCAGAGGACUUAAUCAGAACGAUUUUAUUGCUUUGCUAGAGAGACGUAUGGUGCUUGAUCUCAGCUCAACCAGUAUGACGUGGUUGAUUUCGAAGACAGAAAAUGCAGGCUAAGAAGAUAAUAAGGGAAAAGAAACAGGAGAUCGAAAGUUUCAAGAUUCUAUAAACCAACAUUCCGUGGAAACAGAAAAUCCGAGUUUUUUUUAGGACCACAAUUUAUUUUUUUGGUGGCAUCCGCAUUGCCUGCAUGUCACGAAAUUGAACUACUGGCCGUGGCAGCCACAAUAUUUUUGGAUCCAACUACUGGUCAGCCACCCAUUGGUCAACCUACUUAGUCUUCCCUGCUCCUCUCUUUGAUUGUUGUUCAAAGGGUAAGGCUUCACAAAGGAUCAUCCAGAUGGUGUUUUUUUUUUUGCAUGGUUUUUGGUUUGUUUACUACAUAACACAUUAACAAGGGAUCAUCCAGAAGAAUAUAUAUAUAUAUAUUAACUACUGGUGUGUUUAUAGUAGACAGAGGAAUUGACUCAAACAAUAUGAGGUCUGUGUGUUUAUAGCUAUCUCAAAAAUAAAACUGAUAUUUGAUUUAUGAUUUUAUGACAACUUUGAAGAAUUGACUCAAACAGACACAGGCUUUACCAAUCCAACAUCAACUAUAAUGAACUUUUGCUGUGAACCAGUUAACUUAUUAAGUUUGGGAUACAGAAAUUCUGACUACAGCGGUUAGUAUGCGAACCACCGACUAAUCAUAGCAUGACAUUUUUCAGGUUUGUACUGUGGAGCUGUGUAACCCGCUCCCUGAAAAUUCAGAAAAUUUAGUCUCAGCUUUUGGUCAAGCAAAUUGCAGUGUGGAAUAAUUUAAUAGCUCAAGAUGGGUCUUGGCUUCUUGCCUUUAUAGUUGUGUAUGUCAACUGGUUCUUUUUAUCUUAGUAUCUAAAGAAAAAUAAAGAGGCACAACUAUGAGAUAGUUGUAAUCUGAUUUUCUGACUAAACUCAACUUAAACAGAAGAAAGAUUAAGGACAUGAUGAAAAUAUAAAAAGUAAGAAAGAAGCUGAGAUAGAUAUCAACCCUGCAACCUGUCCGUCGACGGUCGUCAGAGAUUUUAUCCAAGCCAUAGUAGCCACAUAUGUCAUGAUCACCACUGUUAAAAGACAAGCAUUGUGUUAAGAAAUGAUAAUUUGAGAAUGAAUAGAUUGUGAUGCACCGAGAUUAGCACUUACAUAUAUGGACCAUGGGAAUAGAAUUCAUGCUCGGGUAGGUUUAUUCAUUUAUAAUAAGAGUAAUGCUACACUUACCACAUUUUUAUCUUAUAUUUUUAUACCACAUGAUGUGGCAUGUUCAUAUCAUAUGCCACAACAAUUAAAUGAAUGAAGUCUAUUUUAAUAAAUAAAAUUAGAAGAAUAAAAACUAGUAUUUUACAUGAUAUAUAUGGUAUGUACACAUCUGCCACAUCAUGUGGUAUAAAAUUAUGGUAUAAUAAAUAGUGUCUUAAUGAUCUAUAAUUAUUACAAAUCUUUUCAUAUUUUGGGAUUAUCUAGAUUCAUGAUAAAAUUAUGAGUAAUGUUACAUUUACUACAUUUUUAUCCCACAUUUCUAUACCACAUGAUGUGGCGUGUCCAUAUCAUAUGCCACGUUAAUUAAAUCAAUGAAGUGUAUUUUAAUAAAGAAAGUUUAAUUUACAGUUUUUUUGUAAGUGUUAACAAAUCAUAAAAGAAAAGAGAAUGUUAAAUAAUUUUAAUUGUGGCUAUCCACCUCAUCUGCCACAUAAGGUGGUAUGAGAAUGUGGUAUAAGAAAUAGGAGGAUUUGGUUCAAUGUAAGUGAUAUCUUCCUUAUAUCUAUAAAUAGUUUGAGAACGCUUAAAAAGGAUGAUGGGAAACUUCAAUUUGAGCAUGACUCAAAAGAAAUCACCACAAAGGUUUUUUUUUUUAUAAAAAAUUAAAAAGCCUUAAUGGACUACCCAACAGAAAAAAGCAAGGAGAGAGGAGGGGAGAAGGGCAAUGAACACUUCUUCCUCCUCCCCCUUUGUGGAGUUUUUCUUGGGACUCAUAGAAGGAGAGAGCGAUUAAGCUUCUUAAGCGUAAAAAGUACACCCUACUUACCACAUAAUCAAAUGUAAGCGCACCCUAUAUUGAUUAUUAUUAUUUGAUUGACUUGUAAAUGUAUCGACUAGACUUUAUGUGUGAUUCAUGUGAGCAAUGAAGUCGUGGCUUCUCUCUCUCUCUCUCUCUCUCUCUCUCUCUCUCUCUCUCUCUCUCUCUCUCUCUCUCUUUCUCUCUCUCUCUCUCUCUCUCUUUUUGUGUCAACGUUUUCCCUUGUCAUUUGUAAUCAAACUCCACGUUGUAUGAAUGGGGGAUUAAUGGGUCCUCCAUAUACAUAUAUGUCAACACAUUUGGCUAAGAAUUCAAAAUGUCAACUUCAUAAGAAGUUAAAACAUACAAACAAAGACAAGCUUGUGAUUGGUUGUUAGAGAGAUAUCAUAUUUGUUUUGUAGUCCAAAUUCUGGCAGGCAACCUUUCUCAUUGAUUAGGAAGAAGUGGGUGCCGUGCAGGUUUGAUGUAUGUUAAUUUGAUAUUAUACCAUAAUGAUCUUUUCAUUGAUAGGUACAACUGCUUUAUACAAGAGUAUAUUCAGGUACAAGGAAACUAAUUCCGUAAUCUAGGAAACUGACUAGGAAAACAAAAUCCUAAUUACAAUAGGAUAUAUUGAUACGAAUUGAUAUUAUACAAAUUGACUUCUUAACACUCUCCCUCACGUUGAAGAGUAGAUAUCAAGAACUCUCAACUUACGACCAACAUUGUUAAAUUCUUCUUUUCCAAUGCUUUGGUAAGAACAUCGGCCAACUGAGAGGACGAACUCACAUGCCAUGUAGCAAUCAAACCUUCCUGAAUUUUAUCUCGAAUAAAAUGGCAAUCCAUUUCAAUGUAGUCUUAUUCUCUCAUGAAACACUGGGUUAGUGGUAAUAUGUAAAACUGCCUUGUUGUCACAAUACAACAAAGCAGAUUGGUGAUGAUGCGUGCUUAUCGGAGAAGACCAAUCGUUGAUUUCUGGAUCAAGUGUGUUCACAAUCUAAGAGAAGAUCAUGUUGUUACAACGCAGCCAUGCUGAGUGCUCAUCGGGCUUGGAUUCCGAUGACGACACUUUGACAGUUCCAUCAACAAAACUCAAUUUAUUCUUAGCAUUCCAUGUAACUGACAUGAAUCUAUGCAAUGUCGCAUAGUUAUCUCUAGGGCUUCGGCACAAUUACCAAGCCCGGAGGAUCCGAAUUACUAAGGCAAUAAGGGUUUGAAGGUUCCAACUUGAAUACGUCGAAGGAAUCACCCAUAGUGUCCGGUGGUAAAGGGUCUGCAGCAAGAGCAUGUAGAAUGUGGCAAAAAAGGUUUUGAGAGCUAGUUAAUUGCCCUGCUCUAAUACCAUGUGAAUUUGAUAUUAUACGAGAAUGAUCUUUUCAUUGAUAGGUACAAAUUUUUCAUUUCGUGUACAAGAAAACUAAUCCUAUAAUAUAGGAAACCAACUAAGAAAGCAAAAUCUUAAUUACAACAGGAUUGAUACUAAUUGAUAUUAUACAAAUAGACUUCUUAAAUUCAAAAUUUCAAGUUCAUAAGAAGUCAAAACAUACAAACAAAGACAAGCUUGUGAUUGGUUGUUAGAGAUAUCAUAUGAAUUUGUUCGGUCGUCCAAAUUCUGGCAGGCAGCCUUUCUCAUUGACUAGGAAGAUGUGGGUGCCGUGCAGGUUUGAUGCGCACAUGAUUGAAACUGAUUACUCUUCGGACGUGUCUAACAAAGAGCCGUUUCAUGUCCCAUCUCAACCACUCAUAGGAUCACGGUCAACAAAGAGCCGUUUCAUGUCCCAUCUCUCCCUCAUAGCAUCCAUAUUCUCUUUCGUAUCCAAUACUUACAAUUAAUCACCCGCAAAUUACACGUAUGAUUUAUUUAGUUGAACUCAUAUAACCCCCCACUAAAUGCAUUUGUUUAAUAUAUGUGUUAAGCUUAAGAUAACAUUAAUAGAGUCAAGAGCGGAAUUAGGAAUUUUUGAACAAAUAGGCUAUAACUAAAAUGUUUAGGGUAAAAUCUCAUCAACUUUUUUUGUUUGUACUUACAGUUUUUAUAGCUUUUAUGGAAAUAAAAGUAUAUAUUAAAUCAUAUAAACCACAUUCUAAUGCAUAGCUUCAUUGACUAAUUUCAAAUAAAUUUUAACAUAACACAAAUACAUAUUAAAUGCAACAAGAAAAUUAAUAUUAUCAAUGAAAAUGUGUUCAACAACGAAAUUAAAAGUAUACCUAUUUUAAUAUGUAUUUUUAUUACUUCCAUUUACAGAGAAUUGGUCUUUUCAUUUAUCUUUCUUCACAUACAUGUUUGGUUUCAAGUUUGAAGGGGAGGUCACCGCGGGUAGGGUUUUGAUCAACAUUAAGGAUCACCAGAAGAAGUGCUUGUAGCAACAUGGUGAUGAUGAUGUACUUGCUGCUAAGUAUAUAUGCUCCCCUCUUUGAUUGUUGUUCAAAGGGGUAAGACUUCACAAGGGAUCAUCCAGAUGACGAAUUUUUUCCAUAAUUUUUCUUUGUUUAUUACAUAAUACAUUAACAAUAAUGAAUAUAGAACCAUAAUGUCCUGACGUCCCAAAAGUGAAGUUUGGGUGGCAAAUUGCUAAAAAAAAAUUAUAUUGUGUGACAUAUAUAUAUAAUAUAAUACAAAAAAAUUGCACUAAAGAUUAUACUAAAAAUUUGCUCGAUUGUCCGUCGUACUAAAUACUAUACAUCAAGAACAAUAUGUGUUACACAAAAGUGACAUUCACAGUUACAUAUCGAAUUGACAAUAUUCUUGGAAAUUUAUUCACCAAAGCAGUACCAGCUAGCAACAUCCAAGACUUUGGGGCACAAAAGUAUUGGAAUGAAUGAGCUAAUUAAACGUAGUAAUAUGCAAACCACCUAUCAACCAUGGCAAGACAUUCCAUAGGCUUGUAUUCUGGAGCUGAGUGGCCACCUCCCUGUACAGGUCUCCAUUAUUUUAGUUAUCUUUUUUUCUUUCAGAUAACUAGUUGAGAAAAAUUAAGCAGGAUUUUCAGUUCUUGCCUUUACAGUAACAAAUGUCAAACUGUACGCUUUCAGUGUAUAUGCAUUGGUGUACCUUAGAAAAAAAGAUAAUUUAAUUAAUUAAAUAAGAAAUUGCAGUGACAUUAUGAAAAUUGAUAGUAGCAAGCAACCAACCCUGCAACUUGGCCAUUAACAAACCAUGGUCUCCAUUGGUAAUCAACACUCAAAUUUAGAGAUUUUAUCCAUUCUCGAGUGCCCACAUAUGGAAUAAUCAUGUCAUGAUCACCACUGUACCCAAAAAAAAAAAAAAUCUACAAAUUAACUUUGAUAUAUUUCAGACAGAAGAAUACUGAAUUCAUCGGUUUUUUCACACAAACGGUCGUGGAUUUUUUACGGAUAGACAAAAUUUGGAAAUGGAGAAAAUUAAGAAUAUUAACUAGUGUACCUGUAAACCAGUGCUCUAAGGUUUUUCUUGGUGAGAUUUCGAUGAUAGUCGAUACUAGUUCUAACAUCAUAUACAUAAUUGCUAAAUAAACUCUGAUUGCAUCUCUCCCAACCCUUUAUUGUUCCCUGUUAGGUUGUAAUGGCAAAAGUGCUUAAGUGAAAUUAAUUAUAUAGGUAUUGUAAUUCUCAAAAUUAUAACAUACCUCUCGAACGUUUAGAGCAUUUUGGACAGUUUUGUCAUUAGCCCAAAUGAAGCAGAAGAUAUAGUUAUAACUCUGCAACCAAGUACUACGGUAUUAGCAUGAAACAUAGUUCAGUCAUGUACAUGUAAUUUGACUCCAUUGCUAACCGAACUAAUUAUAGGACUAAAAUUUCCAAAGUCAAAGUGAAAAACAAGUCAAAUUAUAAGGAUAAAAAAUAUGUAAUUUGACCCAAAUUCAUUAGAGUAUAUAUUGUGCGACAGUAAGCCAGCCAGAAAUUUACACGACACCAUGAUUUCGUAGAAUAAUGCAGCACAUCUAACAAGUCCUCUUCAGCAAAGUUCUGAUCCCAUUUGAAUCUUUUUGGUUUUGGAGACAGAGUACUACACUUUGGCUCCAAGAUUUGUGCAAGAUUUAUCUUUUGGAUGCACUGCAAAUUUGUUAAGUGGUAAAUCGAUAUUCAGUAUCACACUUCAAUAUAUAAUAAAUGCAAACCAAGGACGUAGUAAUUCUCACCUCAUUGACUUCUUGGAGGUUUUUCACACAAGGUGCAUUGCUUGGAUCUACUUGAACAUACUCUCCCUUGCAAUUUGUUUUAGUUGACUAUAUAUAUACAUAUAUAUAUAUAUAUAAUACGAAGAGAUUAGCUCUCAAAUUAAGCAUUUAUUUUAUUUUUUUGCUACAUGAUUUGUACGAAAAUUAGUUGAGCACUUUUGUUUAUUUUUUUGCACAUGUUGGCAGUAGGAAUACAACUCUCGCUCUUCUUUCUUCAAAGUUUAAAUAAACAAGAAAACAUAUUUAUACCUCAUAGAGUUCAUUGGAUAUAAGUGCCAUGCGAUGAGCAUACUGAAUUCGUGAGUUUACGUCAUAUGUUGGUUCUGUCCAUGGGUUGCCAAGCACGUAACCCUGAGUUCAAUCAAACAACAUUUACUUAUCCAAGACAAUGUUUCUUUACUUGAUACUAAAAAUGUGGUAAAUACUCGCCCCAAAAGAAAAAAAAAUCUAUGUUUGAAUGUACCUUUUUUUUUUUUUUUUGGGAUCCAAGUGAUAUUGACGGAGGAAGAAUUCGAACUUCGGUAUAAAUGUCAGAUUUUACUCAUGCAUUAUAAUCAUUACAUUUCGUACUAAGGACUCAUAAUUACGAGGUUUUUCUUUGGUAAGAAAAAUAUUUUACUCCAAUCACACAUUAAAAUGAUUUUUUUUUUUUUUUUUUCAAAGUUAGGAAGGAGGAGGUGAGUUUUUUCACACAAACUUCCAAGGUGGUAUGAGGAUUCAAACUUGAGACUAUUGAUAUCCAAAUCAAAACUCUUUUUCACUCAUCUCGUACUCGUCUCAUAAAAUAAUUAAGAACCAGAGACUAAGACCGGAAGACAGCACAAAAAGCAAAAGUUCAUUACAGAAAGCAGAAAAAAAAAAAAAAAAAAAAAAAAGAUUGUAAUGAGCUAUAUUAGGAUUACAAGCUAAAAUCAAAUGAGCAGAAAACAACCAUAAGAGCCCAAUCGAACGCACACAAAAGGAGAAGGGCUAACGAGGACUAAAAGGGAAGACAAGUAUCUCAAAUUUAAAAUCAGAUAGAAUUCUUACUUUGAGAUUCAUUGGCGGUUCAUGCCCAGCUUCGUUACCUACAACAGUUCAGAUUUAGGAGACUUCUCAUAAUUUAGGUCAAAUAAAGUUAGGACUCGUUUGAUAACCAUUUAGUGAAACAACUGAAAAGGUUUUCAUUCCCAACAAAAGUUACCGUUGGAUACUUGUUGAGCAACGAUGGGAACGGUUAUGCCUGAAUAUGAAUCACCAGCAAUAUAUAGUGGAUUUUUCAGAAAUUGAGGGUGAUCUUUAAGCCACUGCAGCACCAUUAUAUACAUCACAACAAUUAAUAAAUUAAUUAAUAAGAUUUAACAAUGUAAUUUUCAAACCUUUGUAAAUUACUUUGCCAAAUUUUGACCUUCCUUAGAAAUUCAUAGGUCUGAGUACAUGAUAAUGUAUCACCGGUCCGGUAUUCUUCCCAACUUUUUGCAUAGGAAUAUCCAGUACCAACAGGUUGAUCCAAAAAUAUUACGUUGGCAAUCUGAACAUUUUUCAAUAUGCAUUCGGGGUCAAGUUAUUGACAAAUCAUAAAUUAAUUAGCAGUAGGUUUCUCUCUGAUCUUACCUUUGUCCAUGCGUAUGGAUUCAACAAAAAUGUUGGUUCGUUCCCACUAGAAUUUGCGUAGUUGAAAAUUAAUGGACCUACCAAAAAUAUUUUUAUCAAAUGCAAAGUCAAUUGAUAUCCUUUAUAGGAUGAUCACAAAUGCUUUGUGCAUGUUGGGUGGAGAUCAACGAUGUCUUGUUCCAAUCCAAAAAAAGAAAAAAGAAAAAAGAAAAACAGAUGAGGUUAUCAAAUUGUUAUAUGAUAACAACCAUUAAUUCUUUGAUGUUACUGUACACUGACCUAUAGAUAGCUAGCUUCCAGUCAAAAUCCAACUAAUGGUUUUGUACAGUUUCAAAAUAAUUCUGGAGGGGGAAUUCCUGGUUCAGCAAUAUACGGAGUAAUUUUUUGAUUUGUUGUCAAACUGUAAAUGAGAAUUGUUGAUCAUAUAAUAUAAGUGGAGGGUACGAUAUACAGAGUUGAGAUAAUAAUGUACCUAUACUGUCGUAUACCAUGGCAGUAAAAGAAGAGCAACCAGGACCUCCGCUGAGCCAAAGCAGUAAAGGAUCUUCCUUGGGACUUCUCUCCGACUCGAUGAAGAAAUAAAACAACUGAAUAUCAUCCAAAUUGCCCACCCCAACGUACCUUUAUAUAAUUUAAAUCAUAAUUUUCAUUCUCAUCAUUGCAAUUGGUACGUAUUAAUUGAUAUAGAGUAUAAUUCAUAGAGGGAACCAAAAAAAAAAAAAAAUUAAUUAAUUAGUACCAUAUACCAUAGAAAUAUCCUUUCAUUCACAGCAAAGCAUGAAAGAGAUGAACAACUAAACUGAGAGAGGAGAACACAUAAGGACACCUCUAUAUAGAUGCGAAAACAAGACUCCGAUUUGAAAACAAAAACAAAAACAAAGACAAAGAAAUACCAACCCGGUUUCAAGUUUGAAGGGGAGGUCGCCGGAAAAACCCGGUAGGGUGUUGAUGAUGGAUGAUGAAGCAACGAUGUGACAACAAUGAAGGAGGAGGAGCAGAAGAAGUGCUUGCGGAAACAUGGUGAGGUUGGAGCUGUAACAGUACAUGCACUAGGAUUAGAAGGCUAUGUUUUUUACUAAGUACAAUAACAUAUUAUUUUUUAAAGUGGUAAUGCGAAGUGACUGGAGAGAAUGUUUGGUGAGUAAUAAAUAAUUUCCUUAACAAACGUGUUAGGCACACGUGAUCUUGCCCUAAACCAAGUUGCAACGUUAGUUUUUGUAAUAUUUUUGUUGCAUUUUUGUUCUCGUAGUUAGGUUUCAUUUUCACCCAUCCGUCGGCGAAGUUGGUCUCCCAUGAGAUAUGGACAAACAAUAUACAAAUAUCAUCCACCAAUCACGGUGGAGAUCAUUGAGCAUGUUGGACUUUGACCAGGGAAUGUCGGGUGUCUUCAUUUCCCAUCACUUGAUCACAUGUGUUAUGUCUAUCAUGCCCAAAUAUAAGGGAAGAUAUAAUCUGUCACUGGAUCAUAUCCCCUCAGCCAAUAUAUAUAGAACAUUAGGCCCACAUGCAUAUAAUCAGGCAGUCCCGAUCUUUUGAAUCACAGGAAUUCAAGAGAUUGUGGUUAUUCACCGUUGGAUAUUAAUCCAAUAGUUCAAAAAAGUUUUUUAAAAAGAGUGCAAGAGUAAGUAAACCGUUGAAUUUACAUCCAACGGUGAGUGACCACAAAUCUCUUGAAACCCUGUAGUCCGAGAGAUUAGGACUGUAUAAUUAGGAAUUAAUUAACUACAACACAACAGAACACAUUCAAAAUGAAGUGGCAGCAAUUGUACAUUGAGAUUCAUUGGUGGCACAUGUUCAUUAUGAUUACCUACAUAAAAAUAAAAGUAAAUUAAAAUCAAUACCUCAUGAAACUAAAUGUUUGCUUUAUUUGUCCAUCUGCUAUAUAUAUUGAGCAAUUAGAGGUGACAAACGAAAUGUUCAAUAUUAUUUGCAGGUGAGACUGAAAUAAAGGUUGGAUGAUUGACAAAAGGUCAAAUUUAAGAGGGUUACCAACUUACCAUCUGAUAUUUCCUUAACAACGAUAGGAACAAUUAUGCCGGAAUAAGAAUCUCCGGCAAUAUAAAGUGGAUUAUUGUAGAACUUGGGAUGAUCCAUAAGCCACUGCACCACAACAUUGAAAACAACAAUGUAGCCAAGCUAGCUGCACAUCAUCCAUGCUGCCCACUCCCACGUACCUUUAUAUAAUUAAACCCAUAACUCAUAAUAUUAAUGUAACGUAAGCACAAGUUUAUAUAUAAAAGUAGAAAACAGUAGAUAUAGAACAAAAAUACCGACCCAGUUUCAAGUUUGAAGGGGAGGUCACCACGAAAGCCGGGUAGGGCUUUGUCGCCGCUUCUGUGUCUUUUACUCGCAGAGACUCUUCCAGCAAGGUACUAUUGAUCCGUGCAUUUGCUUGCCUACUCAAUUUAUCUGGGUGUGCAGUGGAGAUCAAUCAUGCUGCUGAUGUUGAUGAAAUAAUAAGUUACAGAAAAGGAGCUUCUGUUCAUGAUCGAUUAUGAUACAAGGACCCCCUUUAUAAUUUGUCCCUUUGAUAUUUCUCAGCUCUACUGUUCUGGGUUGGAUUUGCUAUAUAUGCUCAUGAGUUGUAAUUUUUUUUUUCACAGAAAUAACUUAUAUUGAUGGGUUAGUUGUCUACGAAGUGGUUUUCUUAAAGCACAUUAAUCUGGUGUCCAACUACCAUAUGCAUAAUGCAUGUCACUAAAAUUUUCCCAACAAAAAUAGAGGUUUGUGAUGAAAUAAUUUACUAGACCGACAUUUUGAGAUAAAAUCUCACACCUGAUUGAUUCUUAGUUCUUAGUGGACAAUGUCGCCAAACAAGGUUCACGCAUGCAAAUAAUGCCACCUCAACUUUCAUACAUUUUCGCGUAUUCGUGUUGACGGUUGUAGAUUAAACUUACACUCAGAUAAGUGAUCAUGUACUUUUAGUUACAGUGAAACAUUACAUAUGUAUAAUGCAGUAAUUUUUCUAAUUUAGUAUACUAGGUUAAAGAGGAGAAUGCGCCAGCCACCUAUUGAUCAUAUCAAAGCAUUCCUUAGGAUUGUACUCUGGAGCUGUAUGCCCUCCUCCCUGCACAUUUGCAACUGGGAAUUAUUUAUUACAUCAUAAGUGAUUAUUAGACUUACUUCAAAGAGAAGAUCAAUAAACUUGGAAGCCAUCACUCAUGCCUUUAUAGUCGCAUAUGUCAAAUUAUACUCGUUGUUUGAAUAGUACAUUGUGUAUCUGUAAAAUGAUGAAUCAAUGAAAAAAGACAACAAAAGAUCAAAGUUAGUAUUAAACAUUGAAAUUCCUAACCCAAAAAUAAAAAUCCAAACCCCAAAAAAUCAUGAAAACAACUACAAACCCUGCAACUUGAUGAUCAGAGAACCAUGGUUUCCAAUCAUCCUCAAGUGUCAAGUUCAAGGAUUCAAUCCAUGCCAGUGUACUUAUAUAUGGAAUGGUUAUGUCAUGAUCACCACUGCAGAUACACCAUAUAAACACACGAAAUUAUGAGAAAAGUACGACGAUGUUUAUUUAUUUUUUGUGUGACUAGCUACUGGCUAAUUCUAGGCUUGAUUCUUCAAGGUUGGUUGAAAUUAGAUUAAUUUAAAAGGAGAGGUGAAACAUGAAGAAUCAAAUUGAACAAUUUAAAUUUGUACCUGUAAACUAUAGCACGAAGGUGCUUUUGGCUGAGGUUUCGAUGGUAGUCAACACUACUUGGUACAUCAAACGUGUAAGGUGUGGUUUUAUUGCAUUUAGCCCAUUCUCCUUUUGUUCCCUGUUUGUGAUCAUGGUAAAUGUAUUUUUUUUCGAAAUUGGCCACAGUUUCAUAUAUUCUGUUUGAUUAAUUUGAAGUAAAUCCAAAAAAUAUAUAUAAUUAAUUAGAAGUAACAUGUAUAUAUUAUAUACCUCCCGGAUGUUGAGAGCUUUGCGAACAUUUAUAUCAUUUUGCCAAAGAACUGCGUAGCGAAUCCUGUCUUCCUAAAAAAAACCCUUCAGCUAGUAAUUUGUUACUCUUUAAUACUUUUGUCUUUGAGAGAGAGAGAGAGAGAGAGAGAGAGAGAGAGAGAGAGAGAGAGAGAGAGAGAGAUACCCGACACAGCUGGACAGGGGAGGGAAAAUCUAGGAUAACAUCAUCCAUAGACUCCCUGUCGUUCGUCUUUAAUAUUGUCCACUCGUUAUAAUAGUCCUUUCCGCAGAAAGGUGCCAGUAUAUGUUCUGUAUCAAGUCUCCUAGUGCACUGCAUACUCAAUAAUCAAGGGACUUCACAAAACAGAGAACAAAAACAUGUAGUGUGCGUGUGUAUGUAUACACACCAUAUAUUAUAGAGAGUAAUGAUGUUUUGUUAUAUAUCUGACACACAUGUAUGUUACGGCGUCAGAUUGUGAAUCAAGAUUGUGCAAUUCACCGACAAAACAUAUCAUAUAUGUAUAAAUUUCUCUUAUAAAUAGGGGCCCUUUUCAGAAGUACCCUAUUCACCAAAUGAUGCUUCAGUGUAUGUACAUAUCAAUAUCCUACUUGUUGAAAGGAAAUGAUCCUCAGAGUGAGCCAAGAUUUAAAUCAGUAAAACACUGGCACAUCAUUAUGCUGCUGAACAAAAUUUGGUGAACUUAGCAGCUAGCACCCGGAAUGCUAAUUGACCAUGCUGAUACUACAUACCUCCUUGAAAGCUUGGAGACUGUUGAGGCACAACUGAUUUUUUGGAUCUACAUCUACGUACUCACCCUUGCAAUUCCUUUUUGAUGACUUGAAAGAAGAAGAAAAAAAACAGUAAAACUUAAGAACAACUAUUUUUCAUUUGACUCUUAUAAGAAUAAGAGAUAUAUCCACUAAAACAUCUUGGUGUAUGUAGUUGACCAAAACCCACAAACAUCUUAUAAGGAACAUCCAGCACCUAAAAGAAAACCAAGAGCAACAUACACACCUCAUAUACUCUAUCUGAUAUAAGUGCCAAACGAUGAGCAUAUUCAAUUCUCGAAUUAAAAUCCUCUUUAGCAUUUGUAGAUGGAUUGCCAAUUAUGUAUCCCUGAAUCCAUUAAACCAGAAAUUAAAUUCAAGAGCAAAUGACAGCUCUAUAACAAGGUACAUUCAACCAGGAUGUCAAUUUAGUACUUUGAGAUUCAAAGCUGGCUCCAUCCCAGCUUCAAUACCUACAGGACAACAACAACAGAGAUACAAACUCAUGCCCCCUUAAAACUUUCGAGUUUCGACAUCGAAAAACUUUUGUGCUCAAGAUCAGAGUUCUAUUGCAUAUGCAAUUGCAAUUUUUGGCGCAAUGGUUGAAUUAAUAUGCAAUUUGAGAACUUCAUUUGUCAUAAUUUGUGAAAGUUACCCUGUGUUAUAUGCUGAACAAUGAUGGGAACAAUCUUGCCCGUGAAAGAAUCUCCAGAAAUGUAGAGAGGAUUCGAAAGAAACUGGGGAUGAGCCACAAGCCACUGCAUAGGAAAUUUGAAUCAAUAUAACAAUAAUCAUAAAUAACCAAGUUUUGAAUCUUGUUCUAAUUAAUCUUAUCUCCAAAUUUUUGCGUGUAAAUCUUGACUCACUUUCUGGAGAAACUGAUAAGCUCUUGUAGCAUGCAGGGUGUCACUACUGAUUAACCCUUCCAGAGUUGUGGAGUAUGAAUAACCAGUAGCAGCAGGGGCAUCUAGAAAUAUUAUGUUUGCUACCUGAAAAUAAAUUAUAGGACCAAUUUUUAAAUUUUCACCAUCAAUUGGGAAACUAAAACCCAGAGACAGAAAAUUCCACACCUUGGUCCAUGAGUAUGGAUUCAGAACAAGUUUCAAUGGGUCCUUGGACAAAUCAUUAAAUUGGAAAGAUAUUGGACCUAGAAUAAUAUUAAAAAAAGUUAAAAUCAGAGCCAUAAUUUUGUCUUUGCCUACUGAUGAAAUUGAAAUUUACUUCCAUCCCAACAAUUAAAGAUAGAGAUCAGAGGUAUCAGGUUCGAAUCCCCACGACAUUAUAGUUGUGUGUGUGAGAGAAAUUCCCCUCCCAUAUAGUUUACACUAUUGCUUUGUACUCAAAACAUAAAAAGAUAGAGACCAAGUAUACAUGAUGUGAUGAAAAAGUAUUUUCUCAGUGAAAGUUUUGAACUUUAAUCUCAUGAGAAUUGGAAAUUAACAAGUUACCAAUUUCAUAUACGAGGCCAUAGAAAGAAGAACAUCUGGGGCCUCCGGUCAUCCAAAGAAGCAGAGGAUCAUUUUCUGGGCUGCUUUCUGACUCAGUGAAAUAGUAGAACAUUUGCAGUUCUUCAGAAUUGCCCACCCCCACGUAGCUUGAAAUUAGACACAAAUUAAAACCCAUAAUUCAAAACUACAAAACAUAUAAUUAAAAGUAUAAAAAGAAGAUGGCGCAGAGUUCAGAUAUAUUAUUAAUCAAAUAAUUAAAUACCCUGUUUGAAGCUUGAAGGGGAGGUCACCAGAAAACCCUGGCAAGUUCUUGACGAUUGUCUGCGACGCACCAUAGUUGGUAAGCAGCACUAGCAGCAGAAAAAAUGCCUGACACACCCAGAUUGUGAAAUAGAUGCUUCUGCUGCAACUAAGCAUUCUCCUUUUUUUUUCCUUUUUUCUUGUGGAAGAUAAGAAUAUUGUCUGCCUUUGACCCCUCAUAUUCGCAUACAUUGAGGUAGGAACAGUCCAGGAAAAAAAAAACAUUAAAAAAACAAAACGACAAAAAGAAAAGGAUCCAGAACCAGAAAGUGCUAUUUUCAAAUGCCCUGUAUCACCAAAAAGAACGAAACAGAGAAUUUUCUAGUGUGAACUUGGAAUUAAUAAUUUAUUGCCGCUACAAUAUUGCAAAGGAAAAUAAUAUGAUGUCCCUUCUCUAUGUGAAGGUUCACCAAAUUGGUGAAGAAAAAAAAAAAAUUAGUCUAACCAGAUAGAAUAGAACCAGUUGCUUUCAAUUUGGAUAUUUCAAAUACCAUGAUAAAAUAUUGGCUAAUUGGGCUUAGUUUUCUUAGGAAAUUAAAUUAAUCCUUCGGGUAUUUGAAUUUUAGGUUAAUAAGUUUUCUGGGCCUUUUAGAAUAUUGGCUAUACUUUUUUUUUAUAAAUUUAUAAAUAAAUAAAAAAAACGGUAGUAAUGCCGGUCGGCUAUACUAUUUUUUUAAAAAAUAAAAAAUCCCUAUACUUGGGAUUUUUUAUUUUAAAACCCGGCUAUACUAUUUAUAGAAAACAAAAAAGAAGCCGGCUCGCGCCUAGGCACCUAAGUGUCAAAAUAGGUAUAGCCGCGCGGCUAUACUAUUUUGUUUUUAUAAAAAAAAUCCCGAGUAUAGCCGUGCAGCCAUACUAUUUUGUAAGGUGUGGAAGUAUUGCAUCUGGCGCAUUCCGAUUUUGCUCCAUGUUUGUCAACAUAAAUAUCAGUAAACCUUUUUUUUUUUUUUUUUUUUGGUAAAUCAAAUGGCAAGGGUGUUCAACCCUAUUCAAUCAAGUGUACCUACCGAAUGUUGAGCUUUACGAACAUUUAUCUCAUUUCCCCAAACAAUGCAGUACUGAACUCUAUCUUUCUACAAAACAAAAUUUUAUUAGAUCAUUAUGUAUUAGUGUAAAACGCAGUGCUUUCGACCUACAUACAGAAGAACAUAACUCGUCUAGAAUUCACUUAGGUGUUUAAUAUGAUAUAAUGAUUUUAAGCGGUGAGAGUGUCUGAUAGGGAGGAGAGAUUUACCCGACACAUUUGUUUGGGAAAGGGAAAAUCUAUGAAGUUAUCGUCAAUAGAUUCCCAGUGGGUGGUGGUUUGUAAUGUGGUAAAUAAUUUAUAAUAGUCCCUCUGAUGGGCAGAAUGGUGCCAAUUGUUUGGAGAAAUUCUUCCUGUGGGUAAGGUGGGACCCCAAUACAAGGUUUUAGCUUAGUUGUGGGAUGGGUGGGAGAAAAACUUGAAAUUUCCUGUCAAUAAUGAUAUACCACGUGGAAGUGUUAUCACGCAUGUCAUAACGUUAUUGGCAAGAAAUAACAAAAUAAUAUUAUCCUCGUUUCAUGAAAAUCUUUCUCAAUGGGCAGACAUCUAACAUGGUUAGAUGACCGAACCAAAGAAUUUCUCCCCAUUGUGAGAGUGCACAUGAAAUUUCCCAACUUCUAUUUUUUUGGGUCAAUAAAAUUUCCCCAACUCGAAAUACGACAAACUACAUGUUUUUUUGGUUGAUAGGAUCAGUGUCAGCCCUGAGGGUGGGCAAGGAGAGCGAUGGCCAUGGGCCUCGCAUUUGUAGGGCCCCAAAUUAUAUAUAUAUAUAUUAUAUAUGUACCAAGUUAAAGAAUAUGAUUUUACAGGAGAAUAAUUUCAAUAGUUUGGUAUUUGGAGGCCCCAAAUCUAAUUACCAGUGUUUCUGAAGAGUCCAAAUGAAAAUAUGUAAUAUACGAACAUCAAUUGCAUGUAUUUAAGUAUUUAAUUAAUAAAAGUAGCAAUCAAUGAAAGAAAGCCAAUAGGGACUAGAAAUUCUUUUAUUUAUCAAAAAAUUCUUGUUAGUAGAUUAUUUAGCGAGGAAAUAUGAAAGAGUGCAAAUUAUUUGUAUCCUCAUUCUUGUUUAUUUUCAGAUUGGAGCAUUAUAUGACCAAUACUGGAGCCAUGUCUAUUUAUCCAAAUUGUAUUUAAUUGCAUAAAUUUUUUUUCAUGUUAUUUUAUUAUAUUCAGGAAAAUGAAAGAGAAAUAGACCUCAUUUUUAUUUCUAGCCUAGGGCCACCCAAAAGUCUGGCCGGCCUAGGAUUAACCACAUACACAUGCAUUACAUAUUUUUUUGGCUGGAAGAAGAAGCAUAUAUACAUUUUUGUCCUUAUGCUUGCUGGUACGAAAAAUAGUUUGCCACAGAGAGGUAUGGUGCCAGCUCUCAGCUCAACCAGUAUGACGUGGUUGAUUUCGAAGAAAAAGAAGAUGCAGACUAAGAACAUAAGGGAAAAGAAACAGGGGAUUGCAAGUUUGAAGAUUUCUUUAAAGCCAACAUACCGUAGAGGCAGAAAAUCCGAGGUUUUUUAGGACCACAAGUUUUCUGCUUUUUAUUGAUAUGCGGAAAUUAAACCAUUUUUUUGGAUCCAACUAAUGGUCAGCCACCAAUUAGUCAACUUAGUCUUCUCUGCACCUCUCUUUGAUUGUUGUUCAAAGGGUAUAAGAUUCACAAAGGAUCAUCAUCCAGAUGAUGAUUUGAUUUAUGAUUUCAUGUCAGUCUUGGAAGAAUUGACUCAAACAGACACAGAACCAAUUGACUUAUUAAUUUUGGGAUACAGCAAUAGAAAUUCUGACUACAGAGGGUAGUAUGCGAACCACCGACUAAUCAUAGCAUGGCAUUCUUCAGGCUUGUACUCUGGAGCUGUGUGACCUGCUCCCUGAAAAAUCAGAAAAUUUAGUCUUAACUUUUGCUCAAGCAAAUUGCAGUGUUGGAAUAAUUCAAGUUCAUGAUGGGUCUUGGCUUCUUGCCUUUAUAGUUGUAUAUGUCAACUGGUACUUUUUAUCUGAGUACUGCACUCUGUAUCUAAAGGGCCAAAAAAGAAGGCGGCAUAACUAUGCGAGUUGUAAUCUGAUUUUGAGACUAAAAUCAACUUAAACAGUAGAGAGAUUAAGGACAUGAAAAAAAAUAAAAAGUGAGAAAAAAGCGGAGAUAGAUAUCAACCCUGCAACCUGCCCGUCAACGAACCAUGGCUUCCAACGACUGUCCACAGUCAAGUUCAGAGAUUCUAUCCAAGCCAUAGUAGCCACAUAUGGAACUAACAUGUCAUGAUCACCGCUGUUAAUCGACAAGCGUUGUGUUCAGAAGAAAUGAUAAUUUGAGAAUAAUUAGAUUGUGAUGCAGCAAGAUUAGCACUUACAUACAUAGGUUCAAUCAUUUAUAAUAAAUAGGUGUCUUUAUCCAAAGAAAACUGGAGAGAAUUAUAGACAUAUAGUACCUGUAAAUCAGAACUCUAUAGCCUUGUUUUAUGAGAUUCUCAUGAUAGACAAGACUGGAGGAAACAUCAAAUAUAUAUGAAUCUUUUAAGGUAUGAUUGCAUCUCAACCAUUCCUUAAUGCUUCCCUGAUUUUCAUUUAAGACAGAAAAAUUAAAUUACUGUGAUAUGUCAUGAAAACUUGAAGAAUAUAUUUGGAAGGAACUCAUUAAUUACCUCCUGAAUAUGAAGAGCAUCUUGGACAGUUUUGUCAUUUGCCCAAAUAUAAGAGAAGAGAUAAUUGUAACUCUGCAUUAAAAUAAGGCAGAUAUAUGUUGACUCAAAGUUUACAUUUAGUACAACAAACACUAAUGAGUAACCCACAACCUAUAGAUAAGUUAAUGCUAUGUCCUAUGCAUUGUGUGUGUGCAUGCGUGCAUGCGCUGAGAGACUUACCCGACACCAUGGCCUAGGAAGUUGAGGAAAAGAAAGGAGGAGAUUUACGGAGUCCUUAUCGCUAAAAUAGUUUAUGUUCCACUUUGACCCUGCUGAUUUUGGCGAUGCUACUAAAGUACAUGAAGGUUCCAAUAUCUGUACACUCUGUAUGUCUUCGAUGCACUGCCGAUCCAAUUGUGAAGUCAGUAUUUUUAUCCUACAUUACUUAAAAGUGACAAGUAGAUGCAGAAACAAAAGAUUCUGCUUUAUUUUCACUCACCUCGUUGUAAAGUUCAAGAUCCUCCACACAUAACGUGUUGUUUAGAUCCACAUUGGUAUACUCUCCCUUGCAGUUUUUUUUCAUUGACUUGCAAAAUAUAAAAAACACAAUCAGAUUUAAGAAAGACAGUCUUUUAGCAAGAAAUGAAGUAAGUAUGCAAGUGCGUAGUCACCUGGUAUAGUUCAUCUGAUAUAAGUGCUUUUAGGUAAGCAAAUAACACUUUGUAAUUAUUAUUAUUUUUUCCAUUUGUCCCUGGAUUUCCAAGCACAUAUCCCUGCAGCCAAUAUAUAUGGAACAUUAUUGUCUGCCCUACUGUUAAGGCCUACAGGCAUAUGAUGAGAAAUCAUUCAAAUUAUAAUGGCAGAAAAUGUACUUUGAGAUUCAUUGGUGGCACAUGUUCAUCUUGAUUACCUACACAAAUAUAAAAAUAAAUUAAAAUCAAUACCUCAUGAAACUAAGUUUUUGCCCAUCUGAUAUAUAUUGAGCAUGAAGAGGUGAUGAAUGAAAUGUUCAAUAUUAUUUUCAUGUUCAGUAUUACUUACCAUCUGAUAUUUCCUGAACAAGCAUAGGAACAGUUAUGCCUGAAUAAGAAUCUCCAGCAAUAUAAAGUGGAUUAUUGUAGAACUUGGGAUGAUCCAUAAGCCACUGCACCACAACAGUGAAAACAACAACGUAGCUAGCUAGAUAUGGAAGAAAAGUGUGUUAUAUUCAACAGCCAAUCAUGUCGAUUUUCGAAGGAAUUCUUAAUCACUAGAAUUAAACCUCUCACCUUUCUAAGAAAUUCAUAUGUCUGUGCAGCUGACAAGGUGUCAUUGAGAUUGCUAUAUCCUUCCCAAUUUUUUGCAUAUGAGAAUCCUGUGCCCACCGGUGCGUCUAAAAAUAUUAUGUUGGCAACCUGAAAGUUUGGGAUAUUGUUCUUCUCAAUGUUAUAAGAACCUGAAUAGCUGCUAAAGAUCACAUACGUACAAAGACAUAAACACAAACACCUACCUUUGUCCAUGAAUAUGGAUUCAAUUUUAAUUUUGGUUUGUUGCCAAUGGAAUGUGCAUAGUCAAAGGAUAGUGGACCUACAACAAAGUAUGUAUUAAAUAGUCUUUGUUAGUAAAAUACGGAAUGGGAAAAGUACUAAUAAAAUACAUACGUGUUUUAUUAGGCAAAAUUUUGGCAAGAUACAACUAAAAAGUUCGACUACUAUAUAAUAUUUUAAUAUAAUUUAUUUUAAUAUUUUAAUAAAUAUUAUUUUUAGGGUUAAUUUCAGUUUGGUACCUAACUCUCAACCCCACCCCCCACUAUGCAAUGCAUUUCCUUCCAAUUUUCUGUGGCAAAAUAAUAGAUGAAUGACUAAAUAAACUUAUUCUAAAGUUUCAUUAAAAAAUUUCAUGUAUUUAUCACAACUUUCGUGACUUUUAUCCAAUUUUUAUCGAUAUCGAUAUUGAGGCUCUUGGGUUAGUUGCUCUGUAGGUUUACUUGUGUGCUUUGGCGCCCAGACUAACCCAAAAAAGAACAAAAAACAGAGAAAACAGAGCACACCUUUUUUUUUUUUUUUUUUUUUUGUUGAAGGUCUUCCCUAUCUUUUAAAAAGAUUUUCUGAUGGUCUAAUACCAAUGUCAUAAAAUUUUAAAAUAGAAUACCUAAAUUUUCAUAUACAAUGGCAGAGAAGGCAGAACAACCAGGACCUCCAGUGAGCCAAAGCACAAGAGGAUCAUACUCUGGACUCCCUUCAGACUCAAAGAAGUAAUAAAACAGCUGCACAUCAUCCAUGCCGCCCACUCCCACGUACCUUUAUAUAAUUAAACCCAUAAAUUAUAUAAUUCAUUGUCAUCUUUUGUAUUAAUGCAAAGUAAUUGACAGAGUAGAAAACAAUAGUUAUAAGAACAAAGAUACAAACCCAGUUUCAAGCUUGAAGGGGAGGUCACCGCCAAAGCCGGGUAGGGUUUUGAUGUUAUUGGACGUUGAUGCAACAUUAAUGUUCAGAAGGGUCACCAGAAGAAGUGCUUGUGGCAACAUGGUGAUGAUGAUAUACUUGCUGCUAGGCAUAUUUCAUCACAUAUAUAUAGAGAGGAAUGCUUUAUGACUCUACAGUGAGACCCGUACUAGCUAAAAUAUUAGAAAAUUUGGUAUAAGUCGAAUUCAAAGAGAUGUUGGGUGCAAUUCAUGCAAAAGUUGUUUUGCGCCACAUAAAAUUACAUGCCUUUUUUUACUUAUUUAUUGAUGUUUAAAUUUUAUUUUAUUUAUUUUACAAUUAUUUUGUUGUUCCAAUUAUGCCCCUGUAAAUUAUCGAUUUGUAAAAUUGAUUUGUAGGACUUAAUUAUCAUAUUUGAUUUCAAUUUAAUUGCAAAUCUAUUUAUUGAAUUUUGAAAAUUUUCCAAGGUAUACCGACCUCAAAAUUAGUAAUUAGAGUUCAUGGAAACUUCAUACCUUAACAAUAGGUAAGCUACCUAUGCAUACAUGUCGUUAAACCCGUAAGGGAUCGUUUGUGAGUGAUUUUGGAGACUCCAAUAAUCACUUUUAUGGAGAAUCACUUAUCCAAAUAAUCACUUUUAAGUGAUUUUAUGAAGAAGCACUUAAGAGGUAAAAUCAUUUAAAAUCAUUAAAAAUGAUUUUUUGAAGAAGCAUGCGGAAGAUGUUUCUUCCCAUAAGUAAUUAUGGUCCAUAAUCACUCCCAAACGAGCCCAAAUUACCUCUAGUCUAGAUAAUUAAACCCAAAAGCCAACUCUUGUGCACAUGGUUAUACCCACAAAUUGCCUGCAGUCUAGGUAAUUGAACUCUUAUAAGUAAAACCCAUAAUUCAAAACUACAAAACAUAUAAUUAGAAGUAUAAAAAGAAGAUGGCACAGUGUUCAGAUAUAUUAUUAAUCAAAUAAUUAUGUACCCUGUUUCAAGCUUCAAGGGGAGGUCACCAGAAAAGCCUGGCAAGUUCUUGACUGUUGUCUGCGACGCGACGCACCAUAGUUGGUAAGCAGCACCAGCAGCAGAAAAAAUGCCAGACACACCCAGAUUGUGAAAUAGAUGCUUCUGCUGCAAAUAAUCAUUCUCGUUUUUUUUUUUUUUUUUUUUCCUUUUUUUCUAGUGGAAGAUAAGGAUAUUGUCUGCCUUCCUCAUGUUCUCAUAUAUUGAGGUAGGAACAGUCCAAGAAAAAAACAUUAGAAAAAAACAAAAAGAGAAAAGAAAAGGAUCCAGAACCAGACGUGCUAUUUUCAAAUGCAUAUUUCGACAGAACUGCGCUCGUGCAGCUGCCAGCAGCCCAAUUUUCUAGUUUGAACUUGGAAUUAAUAAUUUAUUGCCGCUACAAUAUUGCAAAGGAAAAUAAUAUAUGUACCUCCCGAAUGUUGAGAGCUUUACGAACAUUUAUAUCAUUUCCCCAAACAAUGCAGUACUGAAUUCUAUCUUUCUACAAAACAAAAAUUUAUUAGAUUAUUAUUUAUUAGUGUGAAACGCAAUGCGCUCGACUUACGUACAAAAAAAUAUAACUCGUAUAAAAUUCGUUUAGGUGUUUAAUAUGAUAUAAUGAUUUUAAGUGUGUGAGAGUGUCUAGGGAGGAGAGAUUUACCCAACACAUUUGUUUGGGAAAGGGAAAAUCUAUGAAGUUAUCGACAAUAGAUUCCCAGUGGGUGGUGGUUUGUAAUGUGGUAAAUCAUUUAUAAUACUCCUCUCCUCUGAUGGGCAGAAUGGUGCCAGUAUAUAUUCUAUAUCAAGUGUCUCAGUGCACUGCAUAUAUAAUUUCAAAAUAAGCGACUUGUAAAAUCAAAGACAUAUAAAGCAUGCUAAUAAAUUAAUUAACCACAAUGAAUCUUCUCACCUCCUUGUAAAUUUGCAUACUGUAGAGGCAUGGAAGGUUUUUCGGAUCUACAUCAACAUAGUCAUCCUUGCAGUAUGACCGGUAAUAACUCUGGAAAAGUAAAAAUCAAAAGAAGACAAUAGAGAUUCGAAUAAUGACCUAAUAGUAAUGGAUAAUAAUUUAAACUACUCUUAUCGAUAAAAGAAAAUCAGAAAAAAGAAAUUAACUUAAUUAUAAAAAAUGAUCCCAGAAUAUAUAUAUGAAGUGUAUAGCCGCUAGGCUAUACUAUUUAGUAUAUAAAAAUAAAAACAAAUUACCCCAGUAACGCCGCGCGGCUAUACUAUUUUUUCAACAAAAAAAAUUUUAAUUAUCCGCAUAUAGCCGGGCGGCUAUACUAUGUAUUAUUAAAAAAAUAAAAAAGGGACCCACCUAGCGCAUAGGCGCUCACAUGUGAAAAUUUUUUAAAAAAAACAUAGUAAAGCCGCGCGGCUAUACUAUUAGGAGCCCAUGUGAGAAAACAAGUAUAGCCGCGCGGCUAUACCUUUAAAAAAAACAGGAAUUCAAUUUACUGCCAGGUGUUCCAAGGAUUAGAUAGAAAUUAAAUUACCAGUUUCAUAUACGAGGCCAUAAAAAGAAGAACAUCGAGGGCCUACCGUCAUCCAAAGCAGCAGAGGAUCAUUUUCUGGACUCCCAUAUGUUUGUGUUGUGGAGGUGUCACCAAUCAUUUGUCGUAGUUUGUGAUUCUGUCAACUUCGAAAAAGAAAAAAGGCCAAAAAAAGAACAAAAAAGAAACUUGUGGACACCGAAAUGACAUCAUUCAACCGUCGGUGCCAAAAAAACAAAGGACUUUCUAUUUUGACGAACAAAAGAAAGAAAAAAAAAGGGGUGUCUAUGCAUUUGGAUUUAUCUUUUUUAUUACGUAAUAUUGGGUUUUGUUUUUAGCUAUUUUGUAAAGGCUUUAAAUUUGUGGACCCAACUAUAUGAGUUGUAUUCUGGUCAAUGAACAUAUGCUUGAGACAUAUAUAUAUAUAUAUAUAUACAGUCCCUUUCUAUUGAGUGAUCUUUCAAAUAAUUUUAUUUGAGGGACGCCUUUUAGGGUACCCUACAAUUUUUUUCCCAAUGAUCCAAACCAUCUAUUUUUUAGGUCUUCAUUCAUAGAUCAUCCUUACAAAAAAUUAGACAAAUCGGAAAUCAUUUCGACAUCCAAUUGUGUCUUACAAAAUCAAUGAACAUGGUGCUUCAAGAAAAUGCUAAAAUUUCGAUAACUUAAUUGAGUGGUCAAAUGAUAUCGGAUUCAAGUGAGUUUUUGUAGAAAUGAUCUUUGAAUAAGUAUCUACAAAAUAGAAGGUUUGGAUUAGUGAAAUACAAUCCGGAAUGAGGCCUACAAGGGGUGUCCCUCAAAUAAGUAUUUGAGGGAUCCCUCAAUGGAAGCUCUCUGUAUAUAAUAUAUAUAUUGGCAGCAACUUCAUAUUAAAGAGGAGAAUGCUCUAGCCACCGUUUGAUCAUAUCAAAUCAAGAAAGUACUCGUAAUUCAACAUCCCAUCCAUUAAUCUUGACAUACUAAUUACAUUAAAGAGGAGAAUGCUCUAGCCACCGUUUGAUCAUAUCAAAGCAUUCUUUUGGAUUAAACUCCGGAGCUGUAUGACCUCCUCCCUGCACAAUUGCAAAUGGAGUAAUUUGUUAGAUAAGUAUUUAUUAGUUUUGAUUAUAAUUAAAUGAUCUCAAAUAACACUAGAAAAUUAGCAAUGUUCUUGAAUUGCACUAUUAUUGUAGCAAAUCGCAAUAUUGAAAAUAUCGACAGAAUAUUGAUACUUUAUUUAUGAUAUAUACAUAUAUAUAUAUCUCGACGGCAUUGAUAAUACUUCUACAAUAAUAGUGUUAUUUGAAAGCAAUUUCCCUUGAUUAUGCUAAUGUAAGAUAAAGACCAUUUCUUGCCUUUAUAGUCGCAUAUGUCAAAUGAUACUCUCCAUUCGAAUACCUGACAGUGUAUCUGUAAAAUUCACAAAUGAAUAAAGAUAACAAAAGUAGAACCAGAGAAAAAAUAAUAAUAAUAAAAAUCAUGAAAACAAUAGAAACUGAGAUAGAUAUAAUACAAACCCUGCAACUUGAUUGUUAGAGAACCAUGGUUUCCAAUCAUCAUCAAUUGGCAAGCUCAGGGAUUCUAUCCAUGCUUCUGUACUUACAUAGGGAACGCUCAAGUCAUGAUCCCCACUGCAGAAGAUGUCAUAAAACUUGUAAUUAUUUGGUAAUAAAAGGUAGAUGAUUCAUGAAUUCAUUGUAUUGAAAGGAUUUUGAACAAAAUAUGUAAUGUGUUUUCGAAUUGCUUGAAUUUACAUCUAUAGAGAUAAAAUUGACAUAAAAAACUACAAAAAUCAAAAUGAUAAAAUCGGCCAACUACGUAAACUAAAAUGACUUUUUUUCCAUAUUAUAAUCUUACCUGUAGACAAAAGCCCGAAGAGAUUUUUGGCUAAGAUUUCGAUGAUAUUCAACAGCACGUUGAACAUCUUUUAUGUAAGGCGUUGAUCUAUUGCAUCUUGCCCAUUCACCUUUUGUUCCCUAUUUGUCAUUGUAAAAUUGUUAAAUUAAUAUGUACAUUUAAAAAUCAACUGGUCGCAAGUGUUAUAGAAAAACAUACCUCCCGAAUGUUAAGAGAUUUACGAACUUUCAUAUCAUUUGCCCAAACCACAGAAUACCGAAGCCUAUCUACCUGCAGAACCAAAAUUUAUCACAAAAUCAAACUUUGACUUGUGACAUGUCAAAUUUAAAUGAUGAAUAUUUGGUCUAGUGACAUUUAAUAUCAAUUGCGGGGCUGAUCUGUAUUUCUAUCCAAUUACAAAGCUUUAUAAGAUUUAAACAUUUUUUUUUAAGGCCAUGGAUGGACUAAAGUGCAAACUAUACAAGGAUGGAAAAUGCAAGCCAAUAUAUAUUGAAUUUGAGAGAAGCGACAUUACUCGACACAAACUUUCAGGAAAGGGAAAGCUUAAGAAAUUAUCAUCAACAGAGUCCCAGUCCCACCCAAAUGUGGUUUGUUCGUUGUGAUUGAUACGAGGAACGCAUGCAGGUGCCAAUAUAUGACUAUCGUCAAGUCUGCUAGUGCACUGCAAAUACAUUAAACAAACCAUUUUAAAAUCGAAGAUAAAAACAUGCAUCUUGUGUUCCUUAAAGAACAUCUGAUCAAAUUGGAACGCUACAUAGAAGAUUAACAUAACCCUGCUCAAGGAUGACGCGCAUAAAUCGAGAAAUGAAUCCAAAAAAAACCAAGCAUCUUGUACUACAUUUGAAUCAUAACUACAUCAGCCUAACUCAUACCUCCUUGAAAGCUUGAAGAUUGUUGAGGCAGAGUUGAUUGUUCGGAUCCACGUCUACGUACUCCCCCUUGCAAUUCCUUUUGGUAGACUUCAAAAAACAUAAAGCAAUAGCGAUAUUUAAAUUUUAAAUCUACUAUCUUAUUCAAGUAUGAAAAGGUUGAUAUAUAUAGUUGGCCAUAAUGCCCACAACCCUUAGUAUCAAUCAAGACCUUCCUUUGUUCUUCAUAAUCGUAAGUUGUAUUAAAAAUUUAGAUGAUUUCCUCAGAAGUUACUAUGAAACAAAACCAAGAGCGACGUAUAUACCUCGUACAUUCUAUUUGAUAUAAGCGCCAUGCGAUGAGCAAAUUCAAUUCUCGAAUUCAAAUCCUCUUUUUCAUUUGUAACUGGAUCGCCGAUUAUGUAUCCCUGAAUCCAUUGAAAAGAAAACUAAAUUCUGGGACAAUGUCAUGAAAUUUGAAAGUACAAUAAGGUAUCUAAUUGAGAUGUCAAUUUAAGUACUUUGAGAUUCAAAGGUGGCUCUGUUCCAGCUUCAAUACCUACAACCAAGAACAAGAUUAGAUAUACAAAAACCUCCCUACCCAAUACUCCAAACAAUAUCUUGCCUGAGUAUGAAUCACCAGCAACGCAUAUGUAAAUUACCAUUAACUAUCUCUUGAACAAUGAUAGGAACAAUCUUGCCCGAGUACGAAUCACCAGAAAUGUAGAGUGGAUUUGCAAGAAACUUGCGAUGAGUCGAAAGCCACUGGACAUGAUUUUAAGAAACAAGAAAGGUUCAUAUAUUGAUGAAAAUUGGCAACCAAUAUGAGUACCCAAAUUAUUGAACAAAUUCUUUGUGCAAACUUGGCUCACCUUUUGAAGAAAAUCAGAAGCUCGUUUUGCAUGAAUGGAGUCACUAGUGUUGUAGCCAUCUGUUGUUGUGGAGUAUGAGAAACCAGUACCGGCAGGAGCGUCUAGAAAUAUUAUGUUUGCUAACUAAAAAGUAAAAUGCGCCCUUUCAAUAUAUCUUCAGAAGCAUAACCAUAUGCAUCAAUUGGUCACAUGGCCAUUCAUAUAUAGGAAAGUAAAAGCAAGAGAUGGAAAUUCCAGACCUUUGUCCAUGAGUAUGGAUUCAAAACAAGUUCUGCUGGAUCCUUUGUUAUACUUGUAAAACUGAAAGAUAUUGGACCUGUAAUGAAUGAACAACUUACUUAUCAUGUCAAGUCAAGCUUUGAAUGGCAACGGAGCGAAUCGGGGAUGGUAUGCCAUUCCCAUCCCAUCCCUGUUAAGAUGGACAGUCAAGCAAUCAUGUAAUUUACGGAUACUGCUCAAAAUAAUUCCUAAUAAGGGCGGAACCAAGAAUUUUUAGACAUGGAUAACUUUUAGUUUGACAUUUAAUUUUAUAUUGAAAAAGUGAAGCUUCAUUUAUGAAAAAUCUUGUUUGCGAAAAUAAAUAAAUAAUGGGGGUAAAACUGAAAAUGUCAGAAAAUAGAAAAUAGAAUUCCGCUUUAUUAAAUUAAGGCUUAUUUAUAUACACCUGAAAAUAUAUUUGAGUCUCACUUUGCUCCCUGAAACUCAUUUUGUCUCACUUUAUCCUAUUUUUCACACAUACUUAUCUCACUUUACCCCAUUUUUCAAAAAAUAUUAGUUUUAAAUUCAAAAUUAAAAUUUUAAAAUUUUGAAAAUUAGAUUAAAUAUUUAAAACAUAAAUAUAUUAAAAAUAAUUUGAAACUUGAGAUCCAUAAAAAAAAUUGUAAGGAAAAUUAAUUUUUAAGAAAAAAAGAAGCUUAAAACAAAAACAAAAAAUGCAUCCCUACCCCUGUCCCCUCCCCUGCCCAUCCAUCUCCCCAUUACCCCUUCCUUCCCCCUCCAUCUCCCCCUAUGCUCCCGUCCUCCUCUUCUCUCUCUAUGUGUUACCAGCGAACCAAACAUUAGAAAUAUAUUAGUGUUUUCAAUAUUUAAUCUGAUAUAAGAAUAAUUUUUUUUAAUUUUUUAUUAAUAUUUUGUGAAAAUUGGGCUAAAGUGAGAAAACUGGGUGAAAAAUAUGGUAAAGUGAGACAAAAUGAGUUUCAGGGGCAAAGUGAGACUCAAAUACACUUAUAUGACUAAAUAUCAAUUAAUAUAUAGGAUAGAAGGAGAUACAAACCAAUUUCAUAAACGAGGCCAGAAAAAGCAGAGCAUCGAGGGCCUCCGGUGAUCCAAAGCAGCAGAGGAUCAUUUUCUGGGCUCCUUUCUGACUCAAUGAAAUAGUAGAACAGUUGCAGCUCAUCCUUAUUUCCUACCCCAAAGUACCUUGAGAGAUUUUGGACACAAAUUAUUUCAAACUCAUCAACACAAACUAGUAAGUCUUAGUCAAAAAUGAGACUUACCCAGUUUCAAGCUUGAAUGGGAGGUCACCAGAAAAUCCUGGUAAGUUCUUGAUGAUUGUCUGCGUUGAACAAAAGUUGGGAAGCAGCAGUAGCAGCAAAAGUGCUUUUCUCCACAGCGACAAUAAUCUAAUGCAGAUCGUGAGGCUUCUGUUGGAUCUGCUCAUUAUCUUUCUAUUUUCCUUUCUUCUAUGUACUCUAAAAGCGCAUGUGAUGUUUAAUUUCCAUUUCUACAAAUUUUUUGCACGGAUUCACCACUUCAAAAUAUAUAAAUAUGAGGAAAACGACCUUCUUGAUAAAAAGAUAGAAUUUAGGGACCCGCCUUUGUUUUUUUUUUUCAAUUAUAAACUGGAUCCCAGGUCCCUCCGCCACUGCCUGAAAGUUGAUAGCUUUACGACACUUGUUUCAUUUCCCCAAACAAUGCAGUACUGAAUUCUAUCUUUCUACAAAACAAAAAUUUAUUACAUCAUUAUGUAUUAGUGUGAAACGCCAUACGCUUGACCUACGUAUAGAAGAAUAUAAUUCGUAUAGAAUUCACUUAAGUAUUUAAUAUGAUAUAAUGAUUUUAAGUGUAUGAGAGUGUUUGAUAGGGAGGAGAGAUUUACCCGACACAUUUGUUUGGGAAAGGGAAAAUCUAUGAAGUUAUCGUCAAUAGAUUCCUAGUGGGUGGUGGUUUGUAAUGUGGAAAAUCAUUUAUAAUACUCCUCUGAUGGGCAGAAUGGUGUCAAUAUAAAUUAAUUUGCAUACUGUAGAGGCAUGGAGGAUUGUUUGGAUCUACAUCAACAUAGUCACCAUUGCAGUUCCUUUUUGUUGACUUUGAAAACAUAAAGCAAUCAUUGAAUUUUCAAAGCUGCAGUUUAGAUAAUAAACUUACAUAAUUAUUAAUUUAACUAGCUAUAAAGCAUAGAAAAACAUAGAAAAACUACAUUGUACUUCACACUAAGUCGGAUUAGAUUAUUAUCAUAUCGGAUCACUAUAAUUCAUAUUCGGAUCUAUUUAUAAUCGGAUUAUCUAUAUUCGGAUUGUAAUUGAAUUGAGAAGUCCAAUCCAUCUCCUAUGAAAUUACAUAUUCAGAUCGAAUUUAGAUCAAAAUAUGAUCCAUUGAUAAGUCUACUACAAAGUCUAUUUAUUCACCCUUUGGAGCAAUACAGAUUCGACUUAAUUAAGAGAGAGUACUCAUAAUUCAAGAUCCUUUAUAUUAAUCUUGACAUAGUAGUAGAAUAGAUUAAAGAGGAGAAUGCUCUAGCCACCUUUCGAUCAUAUCAAAGCUUUCUCUGGGAUUAAACUCGGGACCUGUGUGACCUCCUCCCUGCACAAUUGCAAAUGGAGUUAUUUGUUAGGCAAGUAUCCAUUACGGUAGCAAUGUUCUCGAAUAGCACUAUUAUUGAAGCAAAUUGACCCUAUAUAUUUAUAUAUCAUGCCUUUAUAGUGGCAUAUGUCAAAUGAUACUCCCCAUUCGAAUAGCCAACUCUGUAUCUGGAAUAAUGAAUAAAGAGAACAAAAAUAGAAGUUAAUUGGAUAGUGAAACUUCUAACUGGAAAAAACGUCAAUCUGAAGAAAAAAAUAUAUCAUGAAAACAAUAAAAACUGAGAUAGAUAAUACGAACCCUGCAACUUGAUUGUUAGAGAACCAUGGUUUCCAGUCAUCAACAAUUGGCAAGCUCAAGGAUUCUAUCCAUGCCUCUGUACUUAUAUGGGGAACUUUCAAGUCAUGAUCCCCACUGCAGAAGAUGCCAUAACACUUGUAAUUAUUUGGUGGUAAAAGGUAGAUUUGUUAAUGCAUUUGGUGGUUGUGGGUUUUAUUUAUGCAACUACAAGAUAAAUCAAUACUAUAAUAUUCUAAUUAACAAUAAAAAUGAGACUGUUAGUUCUCAAAAGUCAAGGAGGAAAAAUAAGAGGAUAUAUAUAGAAAAAUAAAAUUAUAUAUAUGCUUUUCCCCAUCCUUUUCUCAUCGUUUUCCAUCAAAGUUUCCAUCACUUUCCUAAUAUAAUUCAUAAUGUCUCAUACCAUCUUUUUACAAAAGAAAAACUCCUGUGGACCCUUAAAAGUUCAAAAGAAUGAUAUAAACAAUAUAAUAUUAUAAUCUUACCUGUAGACAAAAGCCCGGAGGGAUUUUUGCAUGAGGUUUCGAUGAUAGUCAACACUACUUCGGACAUCUUUUAUGUAAGGUAUUGAGCUAUUGCAUCUUGCCCAUUCAGCUUUUGUUCCCUAUUUCUCACAGUAAAAUUGUCAUUUUUUUUAAUCGAAUAGUCACAAGUGUUAUAUAUUCUGUUUAAUUGCAAGCAACACAUAUAUAUAUAUAUAUGUAUAUAUGUAUACCUCCCGAAUGUUGAGAGCUUUAGGAACAUUAAUAUCAUUUGCCCAAACCUCAGAGUACCGUUGCCUCUCUACCUACAAAACCAAAAAAUUUCACAUAUAUCAUCUAAAACACGUCAAUUUUAGGUUAGUCCAACUCAUUAUAAUCUCUUGCUAGGUUUCUAAACAUUCCAAUAUGGGACAUUUCUUCACAUUCUCAUAUGAUUUAGUGGCAUCGGAGGUCGGUGACGAAGCUGACCUUGUUGAAGGGGGCCAAAAUAUAGCUCGGUUUUCCGAUAUUUCUAACCAAUUACAUAGCUUUAUACCAUUAUUUCAGCAUUUUUCAAAGGCCAUGGACUAAAGUGAAAUUUCAUUCAAACUAUAUAAGGGUGCAAAAGGCAAUCUACCCUUGUCAAUAUACAUUGAAUUUGAGAGAAGCAACAUUACCCGACACAGUUGUUCAGGAAAGGGAAAGCUUAAGAAAUUGUCAUCAUCGAUACCAGGAGCGCAUGCAGGUGCCAAUAUAUGACUCACCUCAAGUCUGCUAAUGCACUGCAAAUGCAUUAAGCACACCAUUUUAAAAUCGAAGAUAAAACAUGCAUGUUGGACCAUAUUGAACAUCUACCUAGCUCAUAUAUACCUCCUCGAAAGCUUGAAGAUUGAUGAGGCAAAGCUCAUUGUUUGGAUCCACAUCUACGUAAUCCCCCUUGCAAUUCCUUUUGGUCGACUUCAAAAACAUAAAUUAAGCAAUAGUAAAAUUCAAAGUUUAAAUCUAUUAUCUUAUUGGAGUAUGAAAAAGUUUAGCAAAAAGUUCAUCUUGCAUAAGUAGUAUCAAUCAAGAGAUUCCUUUGUUUUUCAUAUAAUUAUAAGUUAUAUUCAGAAUUUAAUUAGAUGAUUUUGCUCAGAAGUUACAAGGAAAAGUUGAUCUCUGAAACGAAACCAAGUUGAUCUCUGAAACGAAACCAAGUGCGACGUACAUACCUCAAACAUUCUAGUUGAUAUAAGCGCCAUGCGAUGAGCGUAUUCAAUUUGCGAAUUCAAUUCCGCUUUUCGAUUUGUAACUGGAUUGCCAAUUAUGUAUCCCUGGAUGCAUUGAAAAGAAAAACUAACUUCUGAAACAAUGUCAUGAAUUUGAAAGUACAAUAAGGUAUCUAUUUGGAAUCAUACUUCGAGAUUCAAAGAUGGCCCGAUUCCAGCUUCAAUACCUACAACAACAACAACCACCAACCUCACAAUGCUCAGAACAAUCCUGGCUGAGUAUGAAUCACCAGCAAUGUAUUUGUAAAUUACCAUUAGUUAUCUCUUGAACAAUGAUCGGAACAAUCUUCCCCGAGUACGAAUCACCAGAAAUGUACAGUGGAUUUGCAAGAAACUUGGGAUGAGUCAAAAGCCACUGGACAUGAUUUUACAGAGCAAGAACACUUCAUAUUAGUAUUCUCAUGUUUUUUCCCCUCGCCAUAUAUAUAGUGUGACCAGAAAAAUAUAAGGAAAGGGGGUGAUACGGAAAUCAGAAAACCAUUAGUAGUGUAAAAUUAAGUUUUGUGAUGAAAGUUGUCAACCAGUAAGAGUUCCCAAAUUAUGAAUUUUACUGAACAAAUUCUUUGUGCAAACUUGGCUCACCCUUUGAAGAAACUCAGAAGCUCGUUUUGCAUGAAUGGUGUCACUAGUGUUGUAGCCAUCUGUUGUUGUGGAGUAUGAGAAACCAGUCCCGGCAGGAGCGUCUAGAAAUAUUAUGUUUGCUAACUAAAAAGAAAAAUGCGCACUUUCAAUAUAUCUUCAGAAGCAUAACCAUAUGCAUCAAUUGGUCACAUGACCAUUCAUAUAUAGGAAAGUAAAAGCAAGAGAUGGAAAUUCCAGACCUUUGUCCAUGAGUAUGGAUUCAAAACAAGUUCUACUGGAUGCUUUGUUAUACUUGUAAAACUGAAAGAUAUUGGACCUGUAAUGAAUAUGAACAACUUACUUAUCAUGUCAAGUCAAGCUAUGAAUGGCAAUGGAGCGAAUCGGGGAUGGUAUGGUUAAGAUGGAUAGUCAAGCAAUCAUGUCAUUUAUGGAUACUGCUCAAAAUAAUUCCUAAUAAGGGUGGAACCAAGAAUUUUUAGAUAUGCAUAACUUUUAGUCUAACAUUUAAUUUUAUAUCAAAAAAGUGAAGCUAGCUGAAAACAAAAAUAGGCAUGCACUUUCAAUAUUCCCAUUAUCAGAGGCAUAACCAUGGGUGGCCCUGGGAUGGUGCAAGUGGCAUCACCGCACAGGACCCCUAAAUUUUUUUUACUUUAUAUUAUAUAUUAAUAUUAUAAAAACUCUAUAUACACUCCAGCAUGUAACAAUUUGACACAAAAUUGUAUUUGGUGGAGCUGGUUUCUAGUGCACAUUAUAUAUCACACCCAUAAGCUUUCUCCUAAAAGCAAAACAAACAAAAACAGAAAAAACAAAAACAAAAAAAAAACAAAAGUAAUUUCUUCCACUGAAAACAAAACCAAAACAGAAAUUCAUGCCAUUCUUCUUUCUCUUGAACUCUUAAUCUUUUUACCGAACAUACUAAUAUUUAACUUUAUCAAAUGAUAAUAUUAAAAAAAUUUAUGAAUCUGAUUUGUGAUUGUUAUUACAUGCUAAUUGAUGAAUUUUAGUUAUAAAAAAAAUUAAUUUAUGAUAUUAAGUUAUGACAUUUUAUUUUUGUAUUUUCAUAUUAUACUAUGUGAGAGCUCUAGUUUACGUUUUUCACAUGGCCCUCAAAAUCUCAAGACUAACCCUGGACAUGACCAUAUGUAUCAAUCGGUCACAUAACCACAACCGGAGUUGGAAAUUCCGGACCUUUGUCCAUGAGUACGGAUUCAGAACAAGUUCUACUGGAUCCUUUGUUAUACUUGUAAGACUGAAAGGUAUUGGACCUGUAACCAUUGAACAACUUACUUAUCAGGGCCAUCUUUCCAUAUCACGCCAACCAACAUGCAUUCGUGGACCAGCUCAAAUUGAUUUGUAACAAGCUCUAAACGGAUCGGAAAUGGAUCAGAUCACCUUAUAUUUGAUUUGAUCAGAUAAGAAAAAAUUACAACCUGAUCUGAUUCGAUAAUUCGACAAAUCAUUCACAACUAGAUCCAUAUAUGAUUUGUUGGAUUAUUGGAUAUCGAAUCUGAUAAACCAAUCCGAAUUAUUUUACAUAAUAAGUUGAAAAAUAUUUGUAUUUUUUACAAGAAGUUCACGAUAUUGUUACAUUUGUGCAUAUAUAUUUAGUAGAUAAAAUAAAUAUAUUUAUAUCAAAUCAGAUCGGAUUAGGCCAAAUUCAGAUUUGUUUCAUAGAGGUGGCCUGUUACAUUGAUGAGCUUCGUAAAGGCGGAGCACAGUAUGAUAUAAAAAUAUGAUAAGUCUAGCAUUAUUCUUAAAUUAAUAGUGUAGAAUGAGAUACAAACCAUUUUCAUAAACGAGGCCAGAAAAACUGGAGCAUCGAGGGCCUCCGGUGAUCCAAAGCAGCAGAGGAUCAUUUUCUGGGCUCCUUUCUGACUCAAUGAAAUAGUAGAACAGCUGCAGCUCAUCCUUAUUGCCUACCCCAACGUACCUUGAGAGAUUUUAGACACAAAUUAACAAUUAAAAUCCAUUAUCACUAUACUCAUCCCAAUCAUUUUUCCUUAAUUAUUUCAUGCUCAUCAACAAAAACUAAGUACACACAUAAAUACAUUAACCAAAAAUGAAACUUACCCAGUUUCAAGCUUGAAUGGGAGGUCACCAGAAAAUCCUGGCAAGUUCUUGAUGAUUGUCUGCGUUGAACAAAAGUUGGGAAGCAGCAGUAGCAGCAAAAGUGAUUUUUUCCAGAGCCACAAUAAUCUAAUGCAGAUCGUGAGGCUUCUGUUGGUUUUGGUCAUUGUCCUUUCUUGUUUCCUUUCUUCUGUAGGAAACUAUGCAAUCUAAGCGCAUGUACUGUUUAAAGGAUCUGGACCAACGGUCAUU